rnacentral:lncRNA from 1 species
UGCCAUAGCUAUUCAGUUAAGGGAAAUUACUGUUCAUUAAAGGCAAUUACUGUUCACUGGAGGCUAUUCAAUAGGAAGUUGCCCUAGGAGGUCUUGAUACACUGGACUUGCUCUAAUAUCAACUGAAUUUUCAAUUUUUAACUUUUACCAUUGGACUCUCUUAAUUGUUGGAAUUUACGACCUAAGUUAUUUUAUUUUUCUGUUAAAACAUGUCAUGUGCCCCUCACGUGGAGAGAUAUUUUUGUCAAUUCACUCCCUAGGGCUCGUUGGAAUCAAUUUGUCCAAAGCCAAAAGGUUUUUUUUUUUUUUUUUUUUAUAGCGGCAUUGGAGUCAAGUCAUGAAGAGGAAUGGAGAAGUUGAUUUUGGAAAGGGUUGUUGAAGAAUUGAAGUGAAAAUUAUGCAAAAAUAUAGUCUUUCAUUUAUAUUGAGUUUUCAAUUUUUUUUUGGUAGAUCAGCAAGUGGGUGUGUGGUUCAUCUUAAUUUAUUCAGAUAUUAAUUUUUCAAACUCUUUAUGAGGGAAUUUCUGAAUUGGGGCUAUAUAGCCCCCAAUUUUAGAGCCCUACAAAGACAUGUUUUAAUAGCAAAAUAGAUGGAAAGUAAUCUAGGUGGUAGAUUCCAACAAUUAAGAAAAUUCAUGUGGUAAAAUAUAAAAACUCAAAGUUCAAGUGAUAUUUAUUGCACAUGCUUACAAGUUCAUAUGGUACUUGCACAAAAAAUAAAUUAUUGGAUGUACAAUAUUUGUCUAUAAAGUGACGUUAUUAAAAAUAAAACAACACAUGAAAAUCCCUCCCAUUGACCCUUUGAACUCGUGAUUUUUAUUAGACUAAUAAAACUAAAGUCAUAAGAUAUCUAUACUAAUGAAUAAAACACUCAUUGUCAACUAAAAACUUAUGAAAUUACUAGUUUAAUCCUCUAAUUAAAACAGAACAUGAAUAAGAAAUAUGAGACAUAAAUGAAAUUUCACAAAACCAAAUUUUGUUGUUUUUUUUUCUUUUCAAAGUCUCAUCUACAUGUAAUCCUAACAUAUCUCUAAUUAAAAAAACAAAAAACCAAAAAAAGCUUCCCACUCCCACAUUCUUUAUCACUCUCUUCCUCUCUCCUUCUAUUUCAAAAACAAAAGUAAAAAAAUUUCUCACACACUUUGUGUGUGCCCAUAUGCUAGUACUAUAUAAAUAGAAGACACGAGUGUUUUGAAAUGCACCAACGACCGACCGAGUUAGCAAGAAUUGAACCUAAAUUGAUGCCAAUUUUAACACCUAGAACCUUAAAAGGAAUUAUGUAAGCAAGCAACAAUGAGAGACUAAAAAGUAGGGAGACAAGUAUUGUAUCAAAUUCACCUAAAUGACUCUAUCUCUAACAUCUUAUAGCAUACUUAUUGUAAGAUUUUUUCUUUUCUUUAUAAAAAAAGAGAAAUAUUUAGUGGCUUUGUCACGGCAAUCACUCUUUCAAAUAUCAAGAAAACUCACAGAGUCUUUUUAACUACUUCUAAUUAUCAUCGUGUAAUUCAUCAACAUCAUUAUAUUAACUAAAACAAAUUAAUAUUAACAAAACGUGGAACACAUUCAUGUCUUGGGCUAUAGUGUCAUGGCAUGAGAUUUGGGAAAAGGAUCCUCACCGGAUUCUUUUCCUAGAGAUCCUAGUGAUCUCAUGAUUUCACUUGUUCAUCGUAUAUCGUACGAUCAGUUUUCGUCAAGUACUAUUCAUACUUAAUUUUAAAUUUUGAAAUGAUUUCUGAUCACACAAUAUACGAUAAACGGAUGAGAUUACAGAAUCCCUAAUAACCCUAAGAAAAUGAUCCGACUAAGAUGCUUUUCCAUGAGAUUUGGGUGAUGAUGUGACCUCAUUCUACUUUACAGGACACAAAAGAAAAAGGAAAAAAUUUAAAAAAAAAUUAUCUUCUAUUCACAAAAAGGACCAUUCCCACUAUUGACGUACGGGAACAUUUCCGUGAAUUAAACAGCAGCGCUCCAUUAACCCCGAUUAUCUAGGCUGCCCCACAAUUAACGCCCCUUAAACGUUAUUAAACGCCCCCCACCUCCUUCUUCUUCUUCUUCUUACAAGUCGCCGAAGCGGUCUUACUCAAUCCAAUAAGGCGGCAAAACCCCCCAAUUCAAUGGCGGCGCUUUCUCUCUCCUCCAUUGUCCCACCUGCCCUCUCCAGGUCGGUUCCUCUCCCUCUCAUUGCACUACCUUUCUGCUUUCUGCAAGUCGAAUUUCCAGUAUUUCACCGUUGGAGGAACCCUAAUCGUCUGAACCCUUAUCGGAUUUUGCUAAUCCGUUAAUGUGAUCGUCAAUUUUUGAUCUUUUGUUCUGAAUUGAAUUGAACGGCAUCGUUUUCAGGUGAUAUAUCUGCUUCAGCUUUGUUCGCGAGGGGGAUUUCUUUUGGCAAUGGAAGAGAAGGGGCAGCUCAAGCGAGCCGUCAUUGAUACAACGGCAGGUUUAAUCGCCGGCGGAAUAUCGCGAACGGUUACUUCGCCGCUAGAUGUUAUUAAAAUUAGAUUCCAGGUUCGUGAAAGUUUUGAAAUUUUUGCCUUUAUCUUUAUCUGUAAUGGGGUUAGACUGCGAAAUUUUAUUGACAUCGUGGUGAAGUUUGUAAGUUUUUGCAAUUUCUGAGCUUUGCAUUUUUUUCCAAUGUAGAAAAUUCAUAACAUUCUUACAGUACAGUACAAGUAAUGAUAUGAAUUGUUAUUGUUUUCAAGUUUAAUGGAUUCCUACAUGUAUUGACUUGGUGUGAAAUCGUGUUUGUUUUUGUUGUUGCGUAAAUUUCGUGGGUUUUGAGAAUGUUUAUCGAUUCGGUGUUUGGGUUUUAUGCAUGAUGCUUAUCUGCAUAUGCAUCUUAAAGGCUGGUGGUGGAAUGAAAAAUCUUUGUAUUUGUUUUGGUUGAUAGGUUCAACUCGAGCCCACGACGUCAUGGGCUUUGGUUCGAAGAAAUUUGUCUGAACCAUCAAAAUAUACUGGGAUGUUUCAAGCAACAAGGGAUAUCUUCAGAGAGGAAGGCUUACGGGUACAGUGACACAAUUUAUGUUCACGGAGAAUGUAAAUUACUAUUUAGUUUUUCUUGUGGCAUUCUGUAGAAGCCAUUUCUGGUGGUUUUUUAUGGUUCAGUUUUGCAAGAACAUUAAAAUUUUCCCGAGAUCUUAUUAUGAGAAUUUCUUAUGGCAGGGUUUUUGGCGUGGAAAUGUCCCAGCUUUACUUAUGGUUAUGCCGUAUACUGCGAUACAAUUUACGGUGUUACACAAGUUGAAAACAUUUGCUGCUGGUUCUUCCAAAACAGGUACUUUGAGAAUAGUCCUUAUGUGCACUCUUUAUUUCACUUACGCGCUCAUUUCAAUAGGACUUGAUACAUUUAAGGGUAUGACAACUCGGACCCUAUAUUUGUUUAAAACCCUUGGAAAAUAGGCAAACACAGUUGGACACCUGCCUGCAUCUGAAAUCUAUGUUUGUGUCCAUGAAACAUAGGUCUGAACUCUGAAUUAAAAGUUGUAUUAUGUGGCUUCUUUUAAGUAAAGGUAUAAAUUGAAUAUGGUUUGAUCUUCUGAUUCUUCUUUCAUUAUUUGUAGCUCCAGUAGCUUCAGCGUAGGACAUUUGACUUUGACUUCUUUAUUUCUCUUAAAUUCUCUUUCAAAUUGGUUAUCAAGACCUGAAUUUGUGCUAAAGGAACUUGGGUUGUAAGCUGGAUGUCAGAUUGUAAUGUCCAUCUCUAAUAAAAGUCUAGGUUUAUUGCUCUGUUGUUUAUUUGAAUUUUGCAAUGAGGAUUUUGCUGAUAGAGGUACCAUGUUCAGUUUAAGUACUCUAUAUGUAAUGUUUACGACUUUAGAGCUAUGACCACUUUGGAUGUGUUUUUUUUUUCUAAUACCUCAAAUUUCUUGUAUGUCCUGAUCAUUGUUUGCUCUGAUGCAGAGGAUCACAUUCAUUUGAGCCCCUAUUUGUCUUACGUCAGCGGAGCAUUAGCGGGUUGUGCAGCUACUGUCGGCUCAUAUCCAUUUGAUCUUCUAAGAACCUUAUUAGCUUCACAGGGCGAACCUAAGGUAUAGGUACAUGGGUUGACUUUUUGGUGUGGUGCGUGCGUGUGAUUGUAAAUUAACUUUCAAACUGUUCUGCGCCAUGUAUAGCUAUACUAGUCUGAGGAGUAGGAAUCAAUGUUAGAUCCAUGUUAUUCUUCAUAAAAUUCUUUAAAGUUACAAAAGUUAUGCAUCUGACAGCAUAAGCUAUCCUUUAUGUAAUCGGUAGCUUUGAAAUGCUUAAUAUACUAAUAAAUUAAUGUUGAAUUUUAUCAGGCCAUCUUUAGAAUUAGUUUCUGCAUAAACACCAAUUUGUGAAGAGUUCUUUGGCAUAAUAGAGCCUAACUCACAUUGUUCUUCAUUUAGGUGUAUCCAAAUAUGAGGUCUGCGUUGGUUGAAAUAGUUAAAAAUCGUGGCUUUCGAGGGUUGUAUGCUGGACUGUCGCCAACACUUGUUGAGAUUAUACCCUAUGCAGGCUUGCAAUUUGGUACCUAUGACACGUUUAAGCGCUGGACCAUGGUAAGCUUCUGGUUCUGCUCUAUCAUUUACUUUUUUUGUGUUUUUACCUAAAUAUUUGUAUUUCUCUGUCUCAUGAUGGGAAGAUUUCCGUCAGUUUUGGAAAUCAAUAUAUAGUUGUUUUGGUUGAAAAUAUCUGUCAUGUGGUCUCACAGGGAAUUGAACCACAUUGGCUAGUUUUGCAGGGGGCUUGUAGCUCAAGUAGUUUAGACCAUUCACCCCUGCACUUGAGGUCCUAGGUUCAGUUUUCCCCUCCCCCACUCGCUUGUGUAAAAAUAACCUGACAUGUUUAGAUAUGUGAAUUGAAAUAAUCAAAGAAAAGGGCCCACACCCAGCAAAGAGCAAGAUCUUUUGUUGGAAGUGAAUUGGAUACAAUUGUCCUUCCAAUAUAUGUUUGUGUGUUGUGAGAAGGUUUUCUUGGAUUGAGAAAUGCAAUUCAUAUCUGAAAAAAGUACGUGAUCUCACAUUUUAUUGUGUCCAUUUUAGGCGUGGAACCGGUACAGAUCCUCUAAUAUAAACCCGCACGGUAGAGAAGAUGGUCUCUCGAGCUUUCAGCUUUUCCUCUGUGGUAUAGCAGCCGGGACAUGUGCCAAACUUGUCUGUCAUCCACUUGAUGUGGUCAAGAAAAGAUUCCAGGUAGAUAUUUAAACGUCCCGAGCUCCACUAGCAUUACUGGAAAUUUCAGUUCAUCUGGACUCUAGUGUGUUAUUUAACCAUCUUUCCGCAUGAAUACAAGGGAAGAAAAAUGUGAAUGAAAAUGCUUCCAUGUCAAUGCAAUGAUGGUUGGUCAUAUGAAUCCUGUUUUCCCGCCCCUUGCAGGUUGAAGGACUACAGAGGCACCCAAGAUAUGGGAAACCAGUAGAGCACCGUGCUUAUAGCAACAUGUAUGACGCCUUGCGAAGAAUAUUGCAGAUGGAGGGCUGGGCUGGUCUCUAUAAGGGAAUAGUCCCAUCAACCGUCAAAGCUGCACCUGCCGGUGCAGUGACAUUUGUGGCAUAUGAAUAUACAUCAGAUUGGUUAGAGUCCAGAUUGACUUGAAUCUAACUGUUCCCUAAUAGUUUCAAAUAUUAUUUUUGCAUGAUGAGAUUCUUUUGUCCUUGGAAACCUUAGAAAACCCUCGUCAAAGGAACCGAAAGGAGGGACCCUAUUUUAGCCGCCCUUACAGGCCAUAAGAUUGUAACUAGACAGCAAAAUGUUUGAAGAUAGAAGUUGAGAUUUAGAGCACCAUAAAUUUUUGUAUCAGCAUGUUUCAAAUGAUAUUAUCGUCUCCUCUCUUGGAAAAAAUCUGGUUACCGUAUUUACAUCCUCUACAUAUUUUUGUGGUCGAAGUACCGUUACGUUCGCACUCAUAUCUCGAAACAGAAUGGACUUAUAAAUCCCAUAACCACAACUAAACAUGAAUUUCUCCGACAUGUUACAGAUUCUCAGUUGUGUUGCAAUCAAAAUGCCUCAAACACUCGGUACAAAAUUUCCGACAUGUUACAGAUUUCGGAAAUGUAUAAAAUCUCCAAAUCACAGGAUUCACAUUCAAACUUGUAUGCGAGCCAACGUUAUUCAACGAAAAAUCCAAUUAGUAGUGAAGGGGAGUAUCGAUAGAAGCUAUCUAUUUGUGCCUUCUUCAGCGAUUGUUGUUCUGUUUGCCACUGCCAUCCUCCGGAGGCAGUGCUACAAACUGCAAGAUCCUCCGAACCUCAGCAACAUCAACCCGGAACUUCUCAGCAAUUUGGUCCGGCUCCAUGCGGCCAUUGUGAUCCUCGGCCUUGCCCUGAUGCAGCAGAAUAAUGUGGCGCAGCUGUGCCACAUUCAGAGUUCCCGGCGGAGCAGGCCUCUCCUCAUAACUCCCGGAAUCUGGCUUCGUAUCCCUCAGUUUAGGUAGAGGCCUCUUAUACUUGUCCACCACAUUUGCCUGUACAAUGAUCCCAAAAUACACAUUUACAACAGUACAAUACAAUGUCUUAAAUUCAAACCGUGGCUAGCUAGUUUAUUUGCUAAAAGUGCUUAUGAGCGGAAGUGCUUUCUACGUUAUUCCCAAACGGCGAAACGAAAUGAAAAAACCAAACUUCGAAAAACUGACCUCGCCCAUCUCAAAUUUGCCUCCGGGCUUUGCUUUGAUUCUACCCACCAUUUGAUUGAGCAUGGCGUCGUAAUUUGGAUCUCGUUCUUCGAGCACAUUUUCGACUGCUUCCACGGCUCCUCCUGUUCCUGCACUGCCAUCUGAAACCAACAAACCACAUUCGAAACGACGCCGUAAAUUAACUGAACUGAGCUGAGGAAAAAUGUGCGAGAAAAGGCAAUAGACAAAAGAAAGGCGGCAACUUUUAUGUACCAGAAUCAAUAGCGCCGCCGGUCUUGGAGAUCUCCGCCCGUUCGGGGGGAACCAGAGGAGGCCGCUUAUCGACGACGACGGUCUUCGGUUUGGACGACGCCGUUUCGACGGUCGAAGAGGGUCGCGUUCUUCCAGCAGCUCGGCGCAGCGCCUGACCCAUUGUGCCAGUCGUGCUUUCUAUUUUCUAAUUUUCCCCAAAUCAACCAACAAAUAAACUCCGUUAAAUAUGCAGAUAGAUUAAAAUACAAAAAACCCUUUUCAAUUUUUAGGGUUUGGUGGGAAUAUUGGAAGAGGAGGUGGGAGAGGAGGAACAAGAAGACGAUGGGAGCACUACACAGUGGAGAGUGGCGCGUGUUGCUCUCGUGUCCUGUUGUCCUACACGAGAUAGCAAAUACCGAUGGGGCCCAUUUCCUUUACUUUUAUUAAUUUUAAUUUAUGAGAGUUUUUUUUUUUUUUUUUUUGGUCAAUUAUGAGAGUUUUGUUUUAUAAACACACUUUUUAUUUUUGUUUUUAAAAUAGAAAGAUAAAGAAAGAGAGAGAAUGUGGGAGUAGGAAGUUUUUUUUUUUUUUAACAUGUAGGUGAGGUUUUGAAAAAAAAAAUUUGAUUGUGUGAAAUUACAUUUCUGCCUUAUAUUUUUUAUUUAUGUUCUGUUUUAAUUAGAGGGUUGAACUGGUAAUUUCAUAGGAUUUGAUUGACAAUGAGUGUUUUAUUAAUUAGUAGAGAUUAUCUGCUAUGAUAAGCAUUAAUUAUAAGUUAUAACUCUAAAUUUUUUGUCGGAAAAAUGAUACAAUACAUCAACAACAACAACAACAACAACAACAAAGCCUUUUCCCACUAAGUGGGGUCGGCUAUAUGAAUCCUAGAACGCCAUUGCGCUCGGUUUUGUGUCAUGUCCUCCGUUAGAUCCAAGUACUCUAAGUCUUUUCUUAGAGUCUCUUCCAAAGUUGUCAUAAGUCUUCCUCUACCCCUUCGGCCCUGAACCUCUGUCCCGUAGUCACAUCUUCGAACCGGAGCGUCAGUCGGCCUUCUUUGCACAUGUUCAAAAUCACCGGAGCCGAUUUUCUCUCAUCUUUCCUACAAUUUCGGCUACUCCUACUUUACCUCGGAUAUCCUCAUUCCCAAUCUUAUCCUUUCUCGUGUGCCCACACAUCCCACGAAGCAUCCUCAUCUCCGCUACACCCAUUUUGUGUACGUGUUGAUGCUUCACCACCCAACAUUCUGUGCCAUACAACAUCGCUAGCCUUAUUGCCGUCCUAUAAAAUUUUCCCUUGAGCUUCAGUGGCCUACGACGGUCAACACGCCGGAUGCACUCUUCCAUCCAUCCAGCUCGUAUUCUAUGGUUGAGAUCUCCAUCUAAUUCUCCGUACUCUUGCAAGAUAGAUCCUAGGUAGCAAAAACGAUCGCUUUUUGUGAUCUUCGCUAGAUUGCUCCGGUCAUUAGUGUGGAUAAGUAUAUAUAAAUGGAUAGAGAUAGGAAAGCAAACACAAGAUGUACGUGGUUCACCCAGAUUGGCUACGUCCACGGAAUAGAAGAGUUCUCAUUAAUUGUGAAGGGUUUACACAAGUACAUAGGUUCAAGCUCUCAUUUAGUGAGUACAAGUGAAUGAUUUAGUACAAAUGACAUUAGGAAAUAUUGUGGGAGAAUGAUCUCGUAAUCACGAAACUUCUAAGUAUCGGAGUGUGGUGUCGUCUUGACUUGCCUUAUCUGUCUCAUAGGUAGAUGUGGCAUCUUCUCUGGAAGUACUCUUCCUCCAUCCAGGGGUGGUAUCUUUAACUGGUGGAGAUGCACAAGGUAAUAUAUCAAUUUCACUUGAAGCUUACUUGUAGUUUCAGCCUUGGUCAAGCGCGAUACAAACCAUGUAGUAGUAGGAGUCCCCCAAGUCGCCGAGCUAGGGGGUCUGCUGAAAAGAGGUGACAGACAAGGUAAGCAAUCAGAGCUCCGACUGAUUGUUCACCUUCUCCCCAUCUUGCAGCAGCAUGAAGGAUAAAGAGAAGAAAAAUGAGAAGAGAUGAUAUGAGAUACUUUUGCUUUUGAAGAAGUAACUUUCCACAGGCUUAUUCUUGAACUGAGCUGGAGGGUUUUCUGGUUUCCUCCAGAGUAUAAGGCCGACUGAAGAAUUUGAGGGUCAAAACAAGUCCAUCAAAUCUAGAGUACGUUCCACCCUGCUGAUAUGGGAUACUUUUGCUUUUGACAGAGUAAUGAAUGUAUCGGCACGUGUGCUGUUACGCUUGUCUCCACAUGCUUCCUUGUAUCCUUCGCACUUGCCCUAUCUGUUCCUCAAGCAGAUGCGGAAUCUUCCCUGGAAACAUAAGAUGUUGAAGAUGAGUACUCGAGAGCAAUGCCAGGUAAGUAAUCAGGUAAGGGGUUCCAGGCAGUCAGUUCCUGGCUGGAAGCUUGAUUCCAAGUGCUGACUGAUUGCUCUCUUUCUCCUUGUCUUGCAGGUAAAAACAAGGCCAAAAAGAAAAGACAGGGAAAAAGCAUGAUAUGGGAUACUCUUGCUUUUAACCCUGAUGAUAUGAGAUAUUCUUGCUCUAGUAUAGCUUGUUUGCAGAGGUAUUAUCGGGGGGAAAGAAAGCUGAAUAUUUCGAAAGGCUUCGUUGGGAGUGCCCUCUCAGAUAUGAUGAAGGGUUGAGCAUUUUUGCAGGUCUGCCUGUCCGUUGGGGAUGGAGGUCGACAUAUAUAGGAGUCUCCCUAACAACAAGUAGUAAUGCUAUUCCUUUACCCUGCUUGGUCAUAGCACGGUAGUGGGAGCUGCCAGUUUCACAUGUUUUAACUCUGUCAGAGCACUUUGAAAAAGUGGUCUGUGGUAUCUGGCUCUCGAGAUUCGGAGAACGAUGCCUCUUCGAUUUUUGAGAAAGCAAUCAUGCUGGGGGUAUGACUCUCGAGAUUCGGAGAGCAGUGUCUCUUCGAUUUUUGAGGAAGUAAUCAUGUUGGGAGUCUGGCUCUCGAGAUUCGGAGGGUGGUGCCUCUUCGAUUUUGGAGCAAGCAAUCUUGUUGGGAGUGUUGUCUCGAAUGUGAGUAAAGGUUGGGCAUGUUUGCUAGUCUACCUUGCCACGAAGCACAAAGGUUGACACACAGGGACUUUCCAAUUAUCCAGCAAUGGUACUGUUCCUUUACCCUCUCUUCGAUUUUGAGAAAGUAGUCAUGUUGGGAGUCUGGCUCUCGAGAUUCGGAGGACGGUGCCUCUUCGAUUUUGGAGCAAGCAAUCUUAUUGGGAGUGUUUUUCUCGAAUGUGAGUAAAGGUUGGGCAUGUUUGCUAGUCUACCUUGCCACGAAGCACAGAGGUUGACACACAGGGACUUUCCAAUUAUCCAGCAGUGGUACUGUUCCUUUACAGUUGUGGGUAAUAAUAUGGUAGCUAGACCUUCAAAAUUUAUGUGUCUAAACUUUUGUUAGUGCUGUUUCUUUGCUAUUCUUUUACCUUUCUUGGUCAGAGCGAUGUAGUGGGAGCUGCAAGCUUCACGUGCUCAACUUUGGCAGAGAACUUUGGCAAAGUUAUUUGUGGUACCCAUGAGCUAUUGUUGCGUGUGGGAAGUGGGUGAUUGAACAGUAAGAUUCAUGUGCUUUCUACUUCACCAGAAGUCUUCGACAGAAUGCCCAUAAUUUCUGCAAAGCUGAGUGUGCGUGUGACAGGUGCUGACAAGGCUAGAAAAGUAGGUGCCUCUUCGAUUUCUGAGAUCGGCCCUCGUGGUCUCUGAGCAGCCCAGCUUUUGAGAAAGCGAGCGCCUCUUCGAUUGAUUCGGAGAACGAUGCCUCAUCGAUUUUUGAGAAAGCAAUCAUGCUGGGGGUCUGGCUCUCGAGAUUCGGGGAGCAGUGUCUCUUCGAUUUUUGAGAAAGUAAUCAUGUUGGGAGUCUGGCUCUCGAGAUUCGGAGGGCGGUGCCUCUUCGAUUUUGGAGCAAGCAAUCUUGUUGGGAGUGUUUUCUCGAAUGUGAGUAAAGGUUGGGCAUGUUUGCUAGUCUACCUUGCCACGAAGCACAGAGGUUGACACACAGGGACUUUCCAAUUAUCCAGCAAUGGUACUGUUCCUUUACCCUCUCUUCGAUUUUUAAGAAAGUAGUCAUGUUGGGAGUCUGGCUCUCGAGAUUCGGAGGACGGUGCCUCUUCGAUUUUGGAGCAAGCAAUCUUAUUGGGAGUGUUUUCUCGAAUGUGAGUAAAGGUUGGGCAUGUUUGCUAGUCUACCUUGCCACGAAGCACAGAGGUUGACACACAGGGACUUUCCAAUUAUCCAGCAGUGGUACUGUUCCUUUACCCUUGUGGGUAAUAAUAUGGUAGCUAGACCUUCAAAAUUUAUGGGUCUAAACUUUGUUAGUGCUGUUUCUUUGCUAUUCUUUUACCCUUCUUGGUCAGAGCGAUGUAGUGGGAGCUGCAAGCUUCACGUGCUCAACUUUGGCAGAGAACUUUGGCAAAGUUAUCUGUGGUACCCAUGAGCUAUUGUUGCGUGUGGGAAGUGGGUGAUUGAACAGUAAGAUUCAUGUGUUUUCUACUUCCCCAGAAGUCUUUGACAGAAUGCCCAUAAUUUCCGCAAAACUGAGUGUGCGUGUGACAGGUGCUGACAAGGCUGGAAAAGGCUGGAAAAGUAGGUGCCUCUUCGAUUUCUGAGAUCGGCCCUCGUGGUCUCUGGGGAGCCCAGCUUUUGAGAAAGCGAGCGCCUCUUCGAUUUUUGAGAUCGGCCUUCGUGGUCUUUGAGCAGCCCAACUUUUGAGAAAGCAAACGCCUCUUCGAUUUCUGAGAUCAACCCUCGUGAUCUCUAAGCAGCCCAGCUUUUGAGAAAGCAAACGCCUCUUCGAUUUCUGAGCAGGCGCCUCUUCGAUUUCUGAAGCUUCGUCGAGUGCAGAUUUUUAUAGGGGCUGGCAUUAAGUUCCAAAGCACACUUGAAUCUCCACCAGUAGAAGCUUCAUUCUUGCACUUCUAAGAUCUUGAUUUGUCCGACCUCUUCUCUCUUCAACACCUUUGAAAAUGUCUGGCCCCUCCGACCGUCGUUUUGACUUGAACCUUGUUGAAGAGGCAGCCCCGCCUUCUCCAGACAACAUAUGGCGCCCAUCCUUCGUCUCCCCUACUGGUCCUCUUACCGUUGGGGAUUCCGUGAUGAAGAAUGAUAUGACCGCUGCGGUGGUGGCCAGGAACCUUCUCACUCCCAAAGAUAACAGACUACUUUCCAAACGGUCUGAUGAGUUAGCUGUUAAGGAUUCGCUGGCUCUCAGUGUUCAGUGUGCAGGUUCUGUGUCUAAUAUGGCCCAACGCCUAUUUGCUCGAACCCGCCAAGUUGAAUCAUUGGCGGCUGAAGUGAUGAGUCUCAAACAGGAGAUUAGAGGGCUCAAGCAUGAGAAUAAACAGUUGCACCGGCUCGCACAUGACUAUGCUACAAACAUGAAGAGGAAGCUUGACCAGAUGAAGGAAACUGAUGGUCAGGUUUUACUUGAUCAUCAGAGAUUUGUGGGUUUGUUCCAAAGGCAUUUAUUGCCUUCGUCUUCUGGGGCUGUACCGCGUAAUGAAGCUCCAAAUGAUCAACCUCUGAUGCCUCCUCCUUCUAGGGUUCUGUCCAGUACUGAGGCUCCAAAUGAUCCCCCUCCGGUGCCUUCUCUUUCUGGGGCUCUACCGACUGCUGAGACUUCUCCUAAGCAACCUUUGUGAAGGCUCCCUCUUGUGUGCUUAUUUUGACUCAUGUAUAUGUACAUAUUUGUAGCUUAUCGGGGAUAUCAAUAAAUAAGCUUUCCUUCAUUUCAACGUAUUGUGUUAAAUACACCAAAGCCUUCUUCGCUAAGUUCUUUGAAUUUUCUUUUGUUAAAGCUUGUAUGUUGAAGCUUUCUGAGUGGAGCAUGUAGGUUGGGGUAGUGUUCCUUAAUUUCCCGAGUGAGGAAAACUUCUCGGUUGGAGACUUGGAAAAUCCAAGUCACUGAGUGGGAUCGGCUAUAUGAAUCUUAGAACGCCAUUGUGCUCGAUCCUGUGUCAUGUCCUUCGUUAGAUCCAAGUACUCUAAGUCUUUUCUUAGAGUCUCUUCCAAAGUUUUCCUAGGUCUUCCUCUACCCCUUCGGCCCUGAACCUCUGUCCCAUAGUCGCAUCUUCUAAUCGGAACGUCAGUAGGCCUUCUUUGCACAUGUCCAAACCACCGUAACCGAUUUUCUCUCAUCUUUCCUUCAAUUUCGGCUACUCCUACUUUACCCCGGAUAUCCUCAUUCCUAAUCUUAUCCUUUCUCGUGUGCCCACACAUCCAACGAAGCAUCCUCAUCUCCGCUACACCCAUUUUGUGUACGUGUUGAUGUUUCACCGCCCAACAUUCUGUGCCAUACAGCAUCGCCGGCCUUAUUGCCGUCCUAUAAAAUUUUCCCUUGAGCUUCAGUGGCAUACGGCGGUCACACAACACGCCGGAUGCACUCUUCCACUUCAUCCAUCCAGCUUGUAUUCUAUGGUUGAGAUCUCCAUCUAAUUCUCCGUUCUUUUGCAAGAUAGAUCCUAGGUAACGAAAACGGUCGCUCUUUGGUAUUUCUUGAUCUCCGAUCCUCACCCCUAACUCGUUUUGGCCUCCAUUUGCACUGAACUUGCACUCCAUAUAUUCUGUCUUUGAUCGGCUUAGGCGAAGACCUUUAGAUUCCAACACUUCUCUCCAAAGGUUAAGCUUUGCAUUUACCCCUUCCUGAGUUUCAUCUAUCAACACUAUAUCGUCUGCGAAAAGCAUACACCAAGGAAUAUCAUCUUGAAUAUGUCGUGUUAACUCAUCCAUUACCAACGCAAAAAGGUAAGGACUUAAGGAUGAGCCUUGAUGUAAUCCUACAGUUAUGGGAAAGCUUUCGGUUUGUCCUUCAUGAGUUCUUACGGCAGUCUUUGCUCCUUCAUACAUAUCCUUUAUAGCUUGGAUAUAUGCUACUCGUACUCCUUUCUUCUCUAAAAUCCUCCAAAGAAUGUCUCUUGGGACCCUAUCAUACGCUUUUUCCAAAUCUAUAAAGACCAUGUGUAAAUCCUUUUUCCCAUCUCUAUAUCUUCCAUCAAUCUUCGUAAGAGAUAGAUUGCCUCCAUGGUUGAGCGCCCUGGCAUGAACCCGAAUUGGUUGUCCGAAACCCGUGUCUCUUGCCUCAAUCUAUGCUCAAUGACUCUCUCCCAGAGCUUCAUUGUAUGACUCAUUAGCUUAAUACCCCUAUAGUUCAUGCAAUUUUGUACGUCGCCCUUAUUCUUGUAGAUAGGCACCAAAGUGCUCAUUCGCCACUCAUUUGGCAUCUUCUUCGUUUUCAAAAUCCUAUUGAAAAGGUCAGUGAGCCAUGUUAUACCUGUCUCUCCCAAAAGUUUCCACACUUCGAUUGGUAUAUCGUCUGGGCCUAUUGCUUUUUUAUGCUUCAUCUUCUUCAAAGCUACAACCACUUCUUCCUUCCGGAUUCGACGAUAAAAAGAGUAGUUUCUACACUCUUCUGAGUUACUCAACUCCCCUAAAGAAGCACUCAUUUCAUGUCCUUCAUUGAAAAGAUUAUGAAAAUAACCUCUCCAUCUGUCUUUAACCGCGUUCUCUGUAGCAAGAACCUUUCCAUCCUCAUCCUUGAUGCACCUCACUUGGUUUAGGUCCCUUGUCUUCUUUUCCCUUGCUCUAGAUAGUUUAUAGAUAUCCAACUCUCCUUCUUUGGUAUCUAGUCGUUUAUACAUAUCGUCGUAAGCCGCUAACUUAGCUUCUCUGACAGCUUUCUUCGCCUCUUGCUUCGCUUUUCUAUACCUUUCACCAUUUUCAUCAGUCCUCUCCUUGUAUAAGGCUUUACAACAUUCCUUCUUAGCCUUCACCUUUGUUUGUACCUCCUCAUUCCACCACCAAGAUUCCUUUUGGUGUGGGGCAAAGCCCUUGGACUCUCCUAAUACCUCUUUUGCUACUUUUCGGAUACAACUAGCCAUGGAAUCCCACAUUUGGCUAGCUUCCCCCUCUCUAUCCCACACACAUUGGGUGAUUACCUUCUCUUUGAAAAUGGCUUGUUUUUCUUCUUUUAGAUUCCACCAUCUAGUCCUUGGGCACUUCCAAGUCUUGUUCUUUUGUCUUACUCUUUUGAUAUGUACAUCCAUCACCAACAAGCGAUGUUGAUUAGCCACGCUCUCUCCUGGUAUAACUUUGCAAUCCUUACAAGUUAUACGAUCCCCUUUCCUCAUUAGAAGAAAAUCUAUUUGUGUUUUUGACGACCCACUCUUGUAGGUGAUCACAUGUUCUUCUCUCUUCUUAAAGAAGGUGUUGGCUAAGAAGAGAUCAUAUGCCAUUGCAAAUCCAAGAUAGCUUCCCCAUCCUCGUUUCUCUAGACUUUCAAAUCAUCAACAUCGACCAAGAUUGGAUUGGAUUGAAUCGAUCGUUUGGGCGGAUUGGAUUGAAUCUUGAACACCCGUAGCUUUGAUAUCUAAAUAGCAAGCAAUCAAACUGUUCUAAGGAAACUUAAAGCUUAACUUACCUUUUGCUUUCGGCAGGCAACAAACAAUGCUCAACACAAAUCUCUUCAAAUUACGAAAAUUUCAGAUGUAAACCGAUGAGAAACUGUCGACGCGAGUCUAAGAAAUCGAACUACAUUUGAUCAGAACGCAACAACGGUCACCCUAUAAGUUGGUCUUGCAACUCAUAAUUAAGGAAAGAAAAAAACGACCACUUUUAAAGUAAAUUGUACAUACGAGAGAAAGUAAAUGGUUUUAUCAAAUGCUGUUGAACUAAGACUGAAGGGGAGGAGGGUAACUUUUAUCUCUCAUCUUUGGUUUUCCGGGUAUUUGCGCUGCUUUUGCUGAUGUAAUGGCCACAGGAAAGGACGCUGCUACUCCGAAUUUCCAAUGAAAUUUGUAUGUAACACCAUGUACAAUGCAGAAGAAUGAAGAGACUUGCUGCCUUUGCUGUUUAUCAUGGGUUGGUUAUAACCGCACGAGCCGGUCUCUGUUAUAUGCAGAAGCUCUUUGUUCAAGUUGUUUGUUAGAUUUUCAGCACCUAACCGACUUACGAGACCAUAUCAAGUUCACUGUACCCGUCAGCGUUGUUAUUGGGGAUAGCACUCCUGGUUUCCUGCAUACUGAAAUCCGGGAGACUAGUAUCAAAACUGUUGAGAUCGCUCACCUUAGUACGAGCACGCCUGGAUGGCCUUAAUUUGGAGGUGUCUUGGGGAAAUUCGUCCCUACUCUUCCGCUUCUGUUUUGUGUCUAAAAAUCCAUAAGCUAAAGAUUCCAGUACCUUAGUGCUCAGUGGUCGGUUUCUUGUGCUCUGUCUCCGAGAGUUCAUUGCAGGCUGCUGUUCAGAAGUUGCCCCACUUUCAGAGGGAUUCACUGAAUGGGAAGCAGCAUCUGGUUCCUGGUGUGUUUGAUCAUCUUGUCUUUCUAUCAUUGUGAAAGGUUCAUCAGUUUCAGCAUCUAGAGGCGGGGGCAUGUUCAAGUCAAUCAACAUAGGGCGCUGAGGAUUCUCUUGGAAUAUUUCCACAGGCAAACUGUUGCCACAACGAUUGCCUUCACCACUAUCAACUGGGCUGGCUCCUCUAGGCGAAGUACUGGCGGAUGAUAACUUCUCUCCAGAUGGUUCCACUUGAGAAGGAGUUUUCUCACCAAGUGCCGCAUGGUCUCCAGACACAUCUUGUUGUAACAUGGGACCUUGCAAGAACUGGCUCCUGCUGGGGGUGAUCUCUGUGCGACUACAAGCAGCUAACCGUCGACGUCUUUUUGAAACAGGGGCAAGAUGAUUUUCAUUUUCAGAAACCAUUUUCCGGCUUUUUUGGCACUUCAUAGCUUUCCGGCGCUGCAUGUCGUUGCAUGUACCAAUGUUCUCAUUCUUGGGGAGAUCUGCAGUCACAGUAGUCGAACCUUGACCAAAAGCUUGAUGUUCCACCUCUGAAGUACCAUAUUUAAAAUAUUUGUCACCAUUUCUACCCAAACGGAUGGACUUCAAAACGUGGAUCUCAUCCCUCUGUGAACACAAGGAAUUAGCAGAAUUAUAUUUAUCUGCUGAAUCCUCAGAAGCAUCCUCAUCGUCAUCUUCAGAAUCACUUCUGGAGGCGGAGACAUCCAAUUCAAGCGGUAAGCUUCUCAGUUCCCUCACCUUGAAUAUUUUCCCAUUAGACAGACUAGUAUCCACAACCGUAAACUUCAUGACAUUUGUACUACUACGAUUUGGAGUACGAGGCUGCAGAUAACAGUGACGUUGCUGAUUUGGGAAGUCUUGUUCGUCCAGCUUUGUUUCAUCUGUCCACCCAUUUUCUUUAUUUGCUCCCAUUUCAAGCUCAAGAAGCUCAGGGUCUGAAGCAACUUUAUUCAGGACGUCACUUACCGAAUCAAAGUAGUGGGAUCCCUUCACCAGUUUCCUUCUUGAGAAUUUCUUAAUACCAGGGAUAAGAAAGACCAAUGAAUUCCUGGAACCAGUGGAGAAACCCGGAUAAGGCUGCUCAGAGUGCCACCCUCUUUCAAGCAAACGAGGCCAGACAGCUUCCCAAAAGAGAUCGCUCGAGCGGGCUUUGCUUAGCCGGAAGCCCCCUGUUAGAAAGUUGACUAUUUCUAGUGGCGUAAGGGUGGAGCAUGCUUUGCCAGUUGGUAUUUCUGGGCGAACGGGAGCAACCUGAUUGGACUUUAAAGUCUCUGUGGCAAUGCCUGUGAGAUCUUUCUUUCCUGUACCAAUUCCCACUGCCUUUACCAGUGCAUUCAAUCCAACUCUAGCCUUUAAAAUUAAUACAUAUUCUUCUAGUAAAAUUUUUCCUUCCCCAAAUGUCUUCGAGACCUGGAAUUGGUCAAACAAAUUAAAACAUACCAUAUCCUGAUACGAACAAAUAAAGGGACAAACAAUCAUAGUAAAAUCCAAGGUGUAUCCCUUCUGUAAAACAACUGUUUAUCUGCAUUAACAGAUUUCAUUUUGAGUAGUCAACGUUAUAUGUUUCUGUUGUAUAAAAUCAGAAGGAAACAAGUGGCAGAUAAAAUGAUGGAUCCACAUGCAUUACAUAUUUGCACUUGCUUGUCUAUCUUCAUCAGAAAAUAAACAUUUGUCAGUAUUUUCAUAUAUAAUUUGUCUAUACAGUAUCUGCAUAAAUCCAUAAUUUAAGCUAAAAUACUACUAAAUUUAAUGAGUAGGAGGCGGUAAUCUUUAGACAUGGAACUAAUUGCUAAAGUAAUAAACACACAAAUUCGAUUUUACAAAUCACUUCCACAUGAUUCAACUCUGCCAAAAAAAAUAAACGGGUACACAAAAGGAAAGCAAAGUUACAGAAGGCAUAUAGGGACUUUGUGAGAACUAUGUACAAAGAGUUAAACAAUUAAAGGGAUACUAAUCUGUCUAAAUUUUAGCAAUCAAAUAAUAACUUGAAAAAUGUUGGCAGAGAAUCUACACAGAACCUGAAUUAGAGUAUUCAGGAAAGCAAAUAACUAAUUUAGCAUACUUUUGUUUGUUUGUUUGCAUAUUGAUGUGUGUACAGACAGGCUGAUAUAAUUUUUAUCCACAUUAUUGAAGUUUCGUAGAGAUGUAAUUACCUCAAGCAAAGAAGUUUGGCAUUCUUCUGACACGUGAGGAAACAAACGAGAAAACAACUCAUGUUGCCUUGGCCCAGUAAAAAUUCUUUGCCCAAAUAUACAUUUUCUGCUUCUCAUUUUUUUGCAUUCUUUCCAUCUCUUGUAUCUGUCAGACUUGUAAAAUUUCCCAUAGUAGAAUGACAAAAUAUCACCCAUUUGUUUGCUUCCGACAAACUUCUUCACCAGAACGAGGUUCCUCUCAAAGAUAUAUAAACCAAGAAGAAAACUGGCUUCUUCCAUGUCAAUCCAAUUGUCUCCUGCAGAACCAGGAACCGGACAGUACACUCCUCCAGGCUUUUGAUGCAUUUCAGCCUUCCUUUCUUGUUUCAAUACUAGAUUUUCUGACUCGCCAGAUGUUUUCACAUUAUCGGACUUAGCAUCCGUUGGAUCAGCUUUGCACUUUACAUUGUCACUUUCUGAAUCAAUCAAGGUCUCUCCGACAUGUUCAUAUUUUUUGGUGUCCAAUUCCUCGCUGAUCCACAUUACUGGUACAGGCAAACCCAUUACUAAACCACAGGGACUACCGCCAGAAAUUUCUGCAUCAGUUGGGUUUUUUAAAAGCCGUAUAUAGUCAGAAACAGCUAGUAGACAGGGAAUUUCAGCCUGGUACUCAUCUCCAACUCUAGGACCUAGCUCAGGGUCACCAGAGACACCACAUAUAUCAGAAGCUUCUGGAGAAAAUGAAUGCUCAGCUUCAUCGUCAUUGAUAUCCCCAUGGCUAUUUCCUUCAACUGAAUCCAUCUGUCAUACAAGAAGGAGGGGGAGGGGGAACUGGUAUUGUUAAAUAGCCUUUCUGAGACAACAAAAGGAUCAAGGUUCUUCCUUCUGUCCAACAGACAAUUUAAAAGACAUAUACUUCAUAAAAAAUUUCGAAAAUUAUGAAUGCUAUAUGCCAAUUUGAAAUCGUACAUUGCUCCCCCGAUCAUAUUUUUGAUACCAUUAUAAGAACAUGAUAGCCAACUGAGAAAGAUAGAAAAUGAGGAAUAGAACUGCAUGCUAAAAAAAUGCUUCUACUCUAACAAAAUCCAGUCCAAUUUUACAUUUUCAAAUACCCUUUCAAAAUUUCAGACUAAAUUUCUCAUUUUGUUGAAUCUGUUCAAUGUUUCCAAUCUAAAAGUUCAUAUUUACGGGAUCGAAAGGAGCAACCAAGACACGACCGUUCGGUUAUGAAGAAGUCCAAAACCAAUUGAGCUGCUACUAAUGCAGCAGGUUGGUCAUAAACAUGCCAAAGAUAAAACAUUUAUUUUUAUCCUAGCAGCAAUACAGAUUGAAGAACUCAUGCAACUAGCAGCAAUAAAUCCUAGUUAAUCAUUAAUUACAGAGAGAAAGAGAGAGGAAUUUCCUCAGAACAAAUUGAUAAAUACCAAUUUCAAAAUUUGAAGCAAACAAAAUAUUUUUUUUUUCUUGCAUUUAUUAUAUUAAAAAGUUUACUCAUAAACCACAAAUAAUCAUAAAUAUUUUUUUUUUUUUUUGGUACCAAUAAUUUAUUUUUUUAAUAAAAAGGUACCAAAAAAUAAUAAUAACCCAGCAAUAAUUUUUUCAAGCAUAAACCAGAAGAAAGACAAGCAAACAGAGCGUUAAGUAGCAAGCCCGCAACAAAAUAACCAAUCCAGAUCCCUUUUCGAACCCAGACUAAAAUCGACGAAACUACAAAAAGGUAUAAACUUUAAGAUAAUUAUCUGAAAACCCAUUAAGCACAUUCAUAUCAAAACAACAAACAAUCACGACCAAAACAAAAAAACACCAAAAAGUACUAAACUUUAAUAAAAAUAAAUAAUUACCCAACAUAGAAAAAAACGACAGAAAGAACAGGAAAGCAUUCCGGCAGGCAAAAACCACAGUCCCAGUGAAAAUUCCAAUACGAUCCCAUGAAAUUCCACUUAUUUACCAAACAAUGACCCUCCAAAAACACAGAGAGAACUGCAUUGAAUCGUAAAACAAAUAAAAACAGCAACCCAGAAAACGAAAGAAUUGGUUUUUUAAUAUUUCCAUACCUCCACGGAGAAGGAAACGAUAUUUGAAGCCGAACCCACGUGACAGAGCAAGCCUGAGAAAAAUGGGUCUUGGAGUUUUAGCACCAAUUUGCAAGCUUUGGAUUAAAAAUAUAUAAAUAAAACAAAGCGUGAAGCGCACACACACUCUCUCACACAGAGAGCCUGUGCCUCUGAGUCUCUCUAUUUUUAGAGAGAGAAAACUCACGCACGCUGUUGGACAUGAAAACUAGAGAGAGAGAGAGAGAGGGUUGUACCUGGGUUUUAUGGAAGCUAAGCUUUCAUGACCACGAAGGCUGAUUUCGAAGGAGGCCAAAACCAAAGAGAAAAAUAUUUGAGAAAGCAAAAGUCGUUGUGUACUUGGAGAGAGAAAAUAUUACGAUUUUAUAGAGAGAGAUGGAGAGGUGGGAGAGAGAGGACCCGAGUGUUUUCUUUUGGUGUGUGAGAGAGGGAAGGGGGGGGGGGGGCUCUGGACCAUAUAAAGACGUACGAAAGCGAUAUCUCCACGCGCCACCAUAGCGCGUGAGAUACUAAAUCCUGUAACAUUUGACACGUGGCCCUUAAAGAUUCCUGCUACAAUAGACCGGACGAGAUUUGUACACUAUGGCCUGCGUUGGUGCAGAGAGAUUUUUUAGGCCUCGUUUGGUAGCCCGUAUAAGAGAUCGGAUAGGAUAGUUAAUACGGUUCCGGGUGUUUGGUGCAAUUCUGUACUAAAUAGUACCCGUAUUACUUAUACUGGGUCCACACAUUUAUCCGGUGUAUGCCCGUUUAUUUAUCCUUCCAAAAACCUUCGUAUAAUUAGUCGGUUCCAUCCAGUCUUGCUCCAUCGCUCACUCUCUCAGAUCGUUCUUACUACAGGUCGCUGCCCGUUGCCAUCGCCAAUCCCGGAUUUUUUCUUCCUUAUUUUCUUCUCCUUCGUCUUCUCUCUCUCCUCAGACCCACUUCCAAAGCCAUGGCUGAAAAAAGAACUAAUUCUCAACAGGGUCUCUCUCAAAGAAUCCCAAGUCGACUUGGUUAGAAAGAAAAUCAAGAUGUUGUAUCUUCCUGUUCCUCUUUCACUCCACUGCCUUUGCCCUCCUCUUCAGUUCCUCGUCGUGGUACCCGCACAAGUUCGCAUGUCGCCGGUCCUGGGAAUUUUUUUGUUGUAGAACUUUUGUUCUGCGAUUUGUAAUUUGGGGAUUUUUUUGUCAAAGUAAUUUGGGAAAUUUAGAUUAGCAUAGUUUUUGUUAACCAUUUGUUGUCAUAAUGCUUUGUUAAAGGGUUGAAGGAAAGAUUUCAUAAUGCUUUGGCAGAAGAAACCCAGGUGAAAUAGGCUCCGGUAAAAGAGGUUCUGGAGCGGGUUCUGGGCAUGGUGGAGUCGAGAAAGGACCGGACCUCGGUGUCGCUGGUGUGCAAGGGCAUGGUGGAAGAACAGCCGAGUACCCGCUGCUAGAGGAGCUCCGGCUGAAGAGGAUGAGAGCCUGGAGAUGUUGGGUGUUUGUUCUGGUGGGUUCAAAGCUCUUUCGCUUGUCAGCUGUGAUGGGUUCAGUACUGAUGGAAAUUGUUUUUCAUAAAAAUAAUAACAAUACGAUUUAUCCGGUAUAAUACCAAACACAGUAUUAAAUAGUCGGUCUUUAGUCUGAUAUUACACCAAACGCCCGACUAAUUUAGUCAAUACUAUCCGGUGACUAUUUAUCCUAUCCGACUGAAAUAGUCAGUACAACACGAGCUGCCAAACGAGGCCUUAGUGUGUUUGGAGUACGAGGUCUCAACACGAAAUUGAAAUAUCAUGUCAUUAUACUACUUAGAGAAACUUAAAAUAAAAUAAAAUUAUUUAAUUGUAUGAUGCAAUGUGACGUUUUGUUUCGUGUUUCAGGUACAUUGAAAAUUUUCUAGUAGUUAAGAGGCGGGCCAAUGGUGUGCUGCCACCUAUGUGGAAGUUACGGAGGUUUAUUACUAGUGGCUUGAACGACAAGUCGUAGUGAUGUUAUUACGAGCUAGAUUGGCAAGCCAUAGGUAUCGUUGUAUGGUGCGGUCCUACGCGCUCAGAGGCGCGUGUUAGUAAGUGAGGGUUGUUUUUGGGUGCAUAUAUUUAUAAAAGUUCUUUUAUUUUCUGAAAUAAUCAUUUGAAGGGAUUUUCUUAAAUAUUUUUUGGGGUAUUUCUCGAUGAGGAAAGGCUAGACUUUCAGUUAUCGUGGGGUUCGGUCGUCAACUGAGUCAAGCUAUUAUGGCUAUCUCGGACAUAAGCUCUUAAACACACUCAGUUCAUAAAUCCUAGCAAAAAUGCUACACAAUGUUGUCAAUUAACAAAGGAUAAGAGGUGAUUAGCGGCUUAAUAAUAUAAAGCAUAACAAAUCACUAACCGACAAUGUAAAUGGCUAGUUAGCGCCUAAUAAUAUAACACAUAACGCAUCAUUAAUCGACAACGUAAACGGCAAAAACAGACUGUGUGAACGCAAUAACUGACUAUUUGGGCAAAGAACGUUAUGUAUGCGUCCAAUUCUAGUCUCUUUUAACUUUUUUCUUUUUGUUUUUUAUCUAUUCACUUAAAAUAUGGAGGUUUUGUCGCGUAUCAUUUAUGAAAUUUGAAUAUGUAAUCUGGUUUCUGGAUUCGGUUUUAUGACACUAAAUAGUGCACUUCACGCGUUUACCGCCAAGAUAAAAUAAAAAUGGUAUAUAUGAGGUAAUGUUUUCUUACUGGAUAAGUGUUCUCUUUUGUGUUAGGUACAUUCAUCGCAUUUCUAACAAACAAUAUCUCAUAUAAUUUAUGUUAAAAUCUCACAUCGGUAGCCAAAUCAUUUUCCAUUUAUGAAAUUGAAGUUUUUCGGUGCAGAAUGACAGUUGCCAUUCGGUCAAUUAACAGUUAAGAUAGAUUUUACUCACUUUUAACUGCAGAAAAAAAUGAAGGAAAAUAUAUUCAUGCUAACAGAAGUGAUUUCUUUGUAAAGUUUUUACUUACCAAAAUAAUGAUUUGGAGCUCUGUCUUAAAUAUUUUUUUUUUGAGGAUUUUUUUCUCGUGAAUACGGAAGGGCUCAACUUUCAAUUGACGUGAUGUUCGGUUUAGGGAUAGGCAAAUACCCAUCGGUUAUGAGUAACCGUGGUUAUCUGCCCAUUUAAAUUUCACAAUUACUGUUAUGGGUAACCGUUUAAAUAAAUAAACGGUUAUGGGUAUAACCGUUUACUCGCGAAAUUUAAAUGGACGGUUAUAAGUAUUAACCGCGGUUAUAAACGGGUAACCAUUUACCCAUUUAUUUUAUAUAUGUAAAAUUAACACAAACCAUGUUCCCUAUCGAACAAAACUUAGAUCAAUGUUAUUGACUAUAGUGCAUGAUUUAUAUAGCUAAUAUAAUAUAACUUUUCUUAACCACUUUAAAUUUCAUGGUCCAUUAUAUAUAUUAUGUUAAUAUUUUACAUUUCAAGUUAAAUAACCCAAGAAUACUGUCUAUUAACAAUUUUCGUAACCCAAGAAUACUUAACAAAUUUUAUAUUACCUUCAUUGCUAACAAUUAAAAAUAUUGUCUGUAAAAUAUUAUUUCAAUUUUUAGAAUGGUAUAAGGACUUAAAAAAUAGUCAGCGUUCAGUUUAAUAAAUAGUUAUAACGGUGUUUAAUUGUUAUAAAAAGAAAAUUAUGACAAAUUUUUCUUUUUUAAUUUUCAAGUUGUUAAAAAACACGUAGACGGGUGAAAAAUGAGUAAAUGGUAAAAAAGAAAGGAUAAACGGGUUUAAAAAUGAUAAAUGGGUAAACGGGUACUAAACGGUUACGGUUAAAUGGGUACACGGUUAUGGGUAUGUUAACUGUUUAUAAACGGUUAUGGGUAUGGGUAUAACCGUUUAGACAAUUACUUAACGGGUAAACGGUUAUGCGGGUAUGAGAAUAAACGGUUAUGACUAAAUAACCGUAGUUACCCACCUGCCAUAACCGUUGCCCAUCCCUAGUUCGGUUAUAAACUGAGAGACAAGCUAUAAGUUUUUAAACAUGGAGUUAGGUAAAGGGUUUUAAUUUCAGCUUAGUUCAUGAAUCAUACCACAAAAUAUUACACAGAGUUGUCAAUUAACAAGGGAAAUAUUAGAGAUGAUUAGUGGACAAAGAAUAUAACACAUAACGUACCACUAAUCAACAACGUGAACGUAAUAAAUAGACUGUGCGAGCGUAAUAACUGACUAUCUGAGCAAGCAACGUUAUGCAAACGUCUAAUUUUGCUCUAUUUUAACUUUUUGUUUUUGUAAGAUCCCACAUCGCCCAGGAGAGUGAUCCUUAUAUGUAUAUUCUCAUUCCUACCUAGCAAGUAGCCUUUUGGGAGCUCACUGGUUUCGGGUUCCGUAGGAACUCCGAAGUUAAGCGAGUUUGCGCGAGAGUAAUCUCAGGAUGGGUGACCUACUGGGAAGUUCUCAUCUGAGUUCUCAAAAACAAAACCGUGAGGGCGUGGUCGGGGCUCAAAGAAGACAAUAUCGUGCUACGGUGGAGUCGAGCCAAGGAUGUGAUGGGGGCCGGGGCAGGGAUGUGACAGUUUUUGUUUUCUUAUAUGUUCACUUAAAAUAUAAAGGUUUUGUUGCGUUUCUGAAAUUGAAUUUUAUCUGGUUCUGGAUUAGUGCGAUUUUACGCUCAUACAAGAGUAGUGAGUAUCGCUAGUAAUAUAUAUUAUAUAUAUAUAUAUAUAUAUUUUUUUUUUUUUUUUUUUUUUAAUGUAUGAGGCAUUGUUUUCUUACUAGAUAGUUUGACAUAUUAGUUAGAUUAAUUCCGACUUCCACAUUAUGCAUGGGGUUUUUUUUUUUUAAUCACAAAUGGUUUCUAAUGUACUGUGAAGUCAUCAAUUUGGUUUUUUAAUCUUUCAAACUCAUCAAUUUCGUCCCACCCUUUAUUAACUUUUUAAUAUUGUCAUUGUCAUCUAAUUCCUUUAAGAAUUCCUUUACACUAUGGUUGGAAGGAAAUAAACAUAGAAUUUUGACAAAAGUCAAUUUUAUAAAUUGACAUGCAUUAAUUCCUUAGUUUGGAUUCAUAAAAAUAGAAAUUUAAAAUUUUUAAGUAAAAGUUUAAAAAUAAGUGUCAUUUCUAAAUUUAUAUAAGUGAAAGUUUAAAAAUAACAAAUUUCGUAUUCAAAUUCCAUUGUUUUUAGAUUAGUCAAACAAGAUUAUUGACAAAUUCUAAAAAAUAAAAUUCCAUCAUUUUAAUUUUCAUCAUUUUAAAACUUUUUAGUAUUUUUAAGUUUUUUUGGAAUAUUAAUGUGCUGACAUGUCAUGUAUUUGGGUCCUAGGCAACGGUAUUUUGCCAUGUGGAUUGAGUUAAAAAUUGUAUAUAAAAUUGUUGGUUAAAAAGUAAAUUAAAAAAUCACCUGUCGUCUUCAGACUUCAGCAAACCCAUUGUCGUCUCAUCCACUCCGCCCACCAUGGCCGUCGACCUCAAAUCCCCACCAGUCCACCACCACCCACGGCGGCACAAUUCAACUCAUCUCUCUCUUCUUUUUUUGUCAAUAACUCAUCUCUCUCUCAAUGAUCAAAAGCUCUGAAAUUUUUAGUCGGGGUAUGGGUACUGGCACUGGGUAGGGCGAUGUCGCCGAUGAGAAUUUGAUCGGGAAAGACUCACUGCUCCAUGACGACGACAUUUUCAAGGUUAGCGCCGGAAGGGGGUGGUACUUGGGUGAAUUAUGUGAAUUACUCGGGAGAGAAAGGGUGCAACGGUAUGGAACGUGGUGGGUGGUAGUGGUGGGACUAGAGGUCGACGUCGACGGUGGGUGGAGUGGAGGGCUGCUGAAGUUUGAAGACGACAAUUGAAUUUUUUAUUUACUAAAUCUUGGUUUUUUUCCUUUUAUUUUAAGGAAAACUAACCAAAAAGGCUUAAAAACAUUAAGUUUUAACCAAAAACCAUGUUACAAGUUUAUUUAAUGGUUAGUACAAAGUUUAAUUUUAAAUCAGCCCAAUAAGAAUGGCCCAAGCAAUAACAUUCCGCUUUUGCCCCUGACGGCAAGCUUUAUCUCUCCCUCCCUAUUUCGAUCUCUCCGUCUAAUAUCUGCAAGCUGGAUUUCGUCCUUAAGGUCCUGCCAUGGCGUCUUUUGAACCUCUUCAAUGCUCAGCUUCUACAAGCCUAGCCUCGACAUACUCUCUUCCAGGAACUCUCUCCGGCAUCUUCUGUACACGUGCGAGCACUCAUUUCCGAACCCCGCCGCCACCAUCCGCUUAGCAAUCUCAUGGAGGUUGUUGAUGGUUCCAGAAGGAAGCGCAUCGAUCACGAUGUCGUAGUCGUCGAUCGGCUGAGCAGUAGGGAUUUGGUGUUCCUCACCGUCCCCAAUUACCUCAUCCUCCUCUUCUUCUUCAUCAUCUCCCAAGUCAAACGACAACACGCCAUUCUACUCGCCACGAAACACGCGAUUGAGUUUUCGUGACUCGCCGCCGCGUUCGACCAAGGAUCUGAACUCGUCCUCGAGCCGGAACAUGGUCUGCCGCAUAAGAUAAAAGUUGUUUUCUAGGAAUGAUGACUUAUGGUUUUUAGUUUGGUAUUAGCAUUUGUUGUUUGGACACAGGUACUGUUUGUGUGUGUUAGGUAGUGUAUAAUAACUUGAAGAAGGAUAAAAAUGGCUACUAGAAGUGGUUCGCUGGGAACUUGGCAUCAGGCGGUGCUGCUAGUGCUUCAUCUCUUCUUUUUGUACAUUCUCGGGACUAUGCAAGAACACGUUUGGCAAGUGAUGCCAAGGCUGCCAAGAAGGGUGGUUGAAAGGCAGUUUAAUGGUUUAGUUGUGUUGGAAUUUUCGUGUAUUGUGGGCUUUACUUUGGAAUGUACGAUUCUCUAAAACUUAUGGUUUUAACUGGUGGCCUGCAUGAUAGCUUCUUUGCUAGCUUCUUGUUUUCUUGUUGGGAUGGGGAGUUACGAUUGGUGCUAGAUUAGCUUCUUACCCCAUUGACACAAUGCGCCAUGGAUGAUGAUGACCUAAGGAGCAACAGUUAAAUAUAGUAGCUCUCUGGAUGCAUUUAAGCAAAUUAUAAAAAAUGAGGGUGCUUAAGUCGCUGUUUAAACGGAACACUAGUACUAUCACUGUUUCAUAAACUAAACAUUGACUAUUUAUCAAACGAACACAAGUACUAUCACUGUUUCGUAAACUAAACACUGACUAUUUCUGAAACGAAACACUAGUACUAUCACUGUUUCGUAAACUAAACACUGACUAUUUAUCAAAUGAACACUAGUACUAUCACUGUUUCGUAAACUAAACACUGACUAUUUAUCAAACGAACACUAGUACUAUCACUGUUUCGUAAACUAAGCACUGACUAUUUCUUAAACGGAACACUAGUACUAUCACUGUUUCGUACACUAAACACUGACUAUUUAUCAAACGAACACAAGUACUAUUACUGUUUCACUGUUUCAUAAACUAAACAUUGACUAUUUAUCAAACGAACACAAGUACUAUCACUGUUUCGUAAACUAAACACUGACUAUUUCUGAAACGAAACACUAGUACUAUCACUGUUUCGUAAACUAAACACUGACUAUUUAUCAAAUGAACACUAGUACUAUCACUGUUUCGUAAACUAAACACUGACUAUUUAUCAAACGAACACUAGUACUAUCACUGUUUCGUAAACUAAGCACUGACUAUUUCUUAAACGGAACACUAGUACUAUCACUGUUUCGUACACUAAACACUGACUAUUUAUCAAACGAACACAAGUACUAUUACUGUUUCGUAAACUAAACACUGACUAUUUCUGAAACGGAACACUAGUACUAUCACUGUUUCGUAAACUAAACACUGACUAUUUCUUAAACGAAACACUAGUACUAUCAUUGUUUCGUAAACUAAACACUGACUAUUUCUUAAACGGAACACAAGUACUAUCACUGUUUCGUAAACUAAACGCUGACUAUUUAUCAAACGAACAUAAGUACUAUCACUGUUUCGUAAACUAAACACUGACUAUUUCUGAAACGGAACACUAGUACUAUCACUGUUUCGUAAACUAAACACUGACUAUUUAUCAAACGAACACUAGUACUAUCACUGUUUCGUAAAUUAAACACUGACUAUUUCUUAAAUGGAACAUUGACUAUUGAUGAUGAAUGGCUAAGAUCAAGCUUUUGACAGGCGAUUUUCAUCGAAACUGAUCGUCAUUGUUCAUCGAUCCAUUGGAGUUUCGACUUGAAAUAUUCAAACAGUUUGAUUCUUUCGUUUGGCUUAGAGUUCAUCUGUAUUAUAUUCCAAAUUUGCAUGCGAUUCAAUUUUUCAAUUGUUCCUUUGGGUGGAUCGAAGGGAAAAGGAAGAAUCCAAUUCCAAGAAAGAAGAGGCAAAUUUAAUUGCAUGACUAAAAUCAUCUUUAGCUUGCUGUUUUCCAUAUGUAAUAAAUAAAGCAAAUGGAGCAUUGAAUGGAAACAAAAAAAGUGCAUAAGUUAAACUAUAGUAUCUACCCAACUUAAUAGUAAUGUAGUGUUGCAUACUAUCUCCUCUAUUAUUUUUAGAAAAUAAAAGUCAGAAGAUUUGAACACAUUUUAUGAAUUAACAAUUGCACUAUGAGCAGAUGGAACAAAACUGAAAUCCCAGUAAAUAAAAUGCUGGUAUUGAUUAUUUGAUUACACUAAACCAACAUUCAAAUUGCAAAUAAAAGUAUACAUUUCAUUGCAUAUGUGUUGUUCUAAAUACUAUUCAUAAAACGUUUUUUCGAACAAAACACUCAUAAAUUGUUAUACUGCAACAUAACAUCUCAAACGUUUGUACAUAAAUAAUACCUAAUCAUUUAGCUAAGGGUGCAUUAUGAGUGACAAAUAUGUUAAUUCCCGAAGCAUCUUCCAUGCUCUUUAUACGUGUAAGCAAAAAUUGCUCCUUUGAUUGAAGUGGCGAACUACAUUGCUUACAGGCAAACUAAAGACACCUUUUCGUUGUACUUUAGAAUUUAUUGUUUGUAUCACGAACCUAAAUUAUUAUAGAAAUAGUAUGUGUUCAGUUUAAGAAAUAGUCAAUAUUCAGUUUAAUAAAUAGUUAGUGUUCAAUUUAAGAAAUAGUGGUAGUACCGAUGUUCAGUUCAAAAAAUAGUCAGUGUUCAGUUUAAGAAAUAGUUAGUGUUCCGUUUAAGAAAUAGUGGCAGUACCAUGUUCAGUUUAAGAAAUAGUCGGUGUUCAGUUUAAGAAAUAAUGAUAGUACCAUCUUCAGUUUAAGAAAUAAUUGGUGUUUAGUUUAAGAAAUAGUUAAUAUUUCAUUUAAGAAAUAGUCAGUGUUCUGUUUAAGAAAUAGUAUGUGUUUAUUUAAGAAAUAGUCAGUGUUUAAUUUAAGAAAUAGUUAAUAUUUCGUUUAAGAAAUAGUGAUAGUACCAGUGUUCAUUUAAGAAAUAGUCAAUAUUUAUUAAGAAAUAGUUUGUGUUUAUUUAAGAAAUAGUCAGUGUUCAAUUUAUGAAAUAGUCAGCGUUCAGUUUAAUAAAUAGUCAACUUUCAGUUUAAGAAAGAAUGAUAGUACUCAUAUUCAAUUCGAGAAAUAGGUAGUGUUUAGUUUAAUACAUAAUGCUAUUACCAAUGUUCAUUUGAAUACAUAUUCAAUAUUCAAUUGUAUAAAUAAUUCACAUUUGUAAGUUUACAACUCCUCCCUUUAAAAACCUGCCAACUUUCUCUGCAUGCCCAAUCUCUCUCCCGCUCAACCCUAAAGAAACCUAAAAGUUGGAUUUUUAUACUCUCUACAUGUUUGCUUAAAGAGAAGCUGAAGGGAGACAAAAAACAGCAAUUUUGGAUCUACAAAAGCCAUGUUCAUCAAGUCAUUGGCCUUCUUUUGAUCUUCUUGGGCAUCUCCGACUUACGCGACAAUGUCCAUCUGCAUAUCCUCCAAGUUCCUGCUUGGUCAAUGAUCCAUUGGAAUCUUUACAAAGAGCAAUGAACAUGUCUACACAAAGCACGAGGUUGCAAUCAGCAAUAGAAUUACAGUAGUCUUAAAGUUUUCAAUUAUAAUCACCACAUUUAUUUUGAGAUAGAGAGUACAGAUUACAUACUGAGCCUAGGACUUUAACAAUGGCAAAUUCUUGUAUUGGGAAUAUAUAUCUAGAACACAAUAAUGAAUCCGAAACUCAAGAAUGAGAAGCGAAAUCAAGACAAGGUAAUGGCAAUCAAGCCAAAGCCAAGACCAGAUAAUCAUCUCACUCUAGAAUGGAAUCCUCAUACUACACUUUAACUGCAGCAUAAAUAAGCCACAUGUAGAAGAAAAUCCAUUUAAACAACAGAAAAAGAGGAAUGGCAAUGGAAUGAAAGUUUAGAUCUGAAAAGUACCCACCACAUAUGCGCUGGGUGGAUGUCAAAAGAGAACCAGUUUUCAACUUGCUCAUUGUCAGUGACUUCUUCCUCACUUUUCCUAAUAUCGAAUAAAGUUCAGGACAUAUAGUCAGCAGAAGAUCAGAGUUCACUGGGUGUUUCAAUUGCUUUGCAGAAAAUAUACCUAAUGAAGAUGAUGCAAUUAAACACAAAAAAAAAAUACAAAAAAUCAAUCACCCAUCUCCUCUCACUGAAAAUCUGGUCGUCUCCUCCGCGAACCCCAAUUCCACCACAUCCACUGCACAUUGGCAUCUGAAAGAGACACACUCACCAAAAGGGGCCUGCCUUUCUUUCAAGUGGAAGCGGGAAACGUCGAUGAGAACGGAGUGAAUAAAUAGCUUGACUGUGAGAGAUCCACAACAUAUUGCAAAUUCGAAUCCUUCUCUCCUGCCAUCGAUCCUCCAGAGGGUCCUAAUUUCUUCUUCCGCUGCUUUCCUGAGGGAGAAGUGAGCAAGAAGCGGAAGGCCUCGUCUUCCUCCAUGGCUUCUGCCGCCGUUGCUUCUCCGGUGGUGAACAUUAAUGGCGUUGGAGGGAUGAUGAAUUUUAGUAACUGCAACUUUGGCUAACGGGCCUGGGUUAGGCUCCGUUAGGGGCAAUUUUGGAAUAGUAAUUGUUAUGCGAUUUGGGCUUUUUGUUGUGCCCGUGUGUUUUAGUUUUUGUAGGGCCUGAGAUAAAAGUUUUGUGUCCUUACGAUUAAAAUUUAAGCCAUUUUUAUUAAAUAAUACUUUAGGGUGGUUUUUCAUUAAAAAAAAGUUAGUCCAAGCCCUUUUCAUUAAAGCUCCCUUUAUUUUAAUGCAUUUAUCAACUCAAUCCACAUGGCUAAAUAUCAUUGGCGGUAAGACAAUGAAUAAGUAAAGGUAAUGCUAAUGAGAUUAAAUUUUAGAUAAAGUUUUGAAAACUAAAGAACAUGGAAGUUGAUGAUUGGUUUAUUAGGGUUUAGUUUGCAAAUUACUUAAAUGAUAAUAAACGUGCUUAUUUCUAUUGAUGACACGUUAUUUAGUAUUGCAAAUUUAAUUUUUCUAGUAUUACCCAUAAGUAAAUAGACAGAGGACGAAAUUGGUGAAUUAAAAAUAUGAAAGACCCGACUAAUGACUUUACAAUAUGGUAGUUGGGACUUGGGGGUGGGGAAUUCAAACUUAGUAUAGAAAUUUUGGGUUUGGUUUUUAUAAACGGAAUUGUUAUUGGCACUCUAAAUUUUUUAUUUUGCGCUUCCCGUCGAUGAUAAGCUCGCGACCCCCCCCCCGGGCGACGGUUGCAGGUAUUUGGGUUGUGGUUUUGCAGGUAGUGGGUUGCGGGUUGUGGUUUUGCAGGUAGUGGGUUGCAGGUAUUUGGGUUGCAGGGGUUUCUAAGAAAACUAGUGAAAAAAAAGCAGAUAAGUGAUUAAAGGUGGGGGCUUUGAGGUGGGAGAGGUGGAGGGGGAUAUGGGUUUUGGGAGAAGGAGACGCGUGGAGGCAGAGGGUGGCGGGGGAAGAGGCGGGAGAUGGGUGGAAUUCGAAGUUCAAACCCUAGAGAAGGAGAGGGAAUGAAGGAAUUGAAAAAAGGGUGUCAGGAAGUGUGUUGGGGUUGGUGUGGAGGAAGAAGAAGAGUGGGAGAGAUGGGUAAGGGGGUGGGGGUGAGAUGUGGGGUUGUGGGGAAGGGGAUCUGGGUUCGGGUUUUCUGGUUUUUUUUUAUUUUUUUUAUUUUUUUUAAGGGUUAAUAUUAUAAUAUUGUUAAUGUAUAAAUUUUUUUUUUUGCCAUGUGGCAGCCACAUCAGCACAAAUGUGGCAGCCACGUUAGCAUUUAACAAACCAUUAGAUGGAAAAUCUAACGGAUGUGUUGUUUUGAAAUAAAAUAGUACGUGAGGUAUGAAAGUGAAAUGUUUUAAAGAUGUUGUAUGAGGUUGUAAUAGACCUCAAACCUGAGGGGUUUCUAUAUAAUUUACUCUAAAUUUUUUAUAAUCAGAAAGAAAAAUAUGCAUGAGAGCAUUGAGAUGUGCAAAAUAAAAUUUUUAGAAUGCAAAUAAUAGUUUUCUUUAUAAAUUAGAAUUAAACUUAUAUAGUAAGAUGAAAAUUAAUCCAAUAAGAAUUCAAUUGUUGAGUCUUGAGUGUGAUAUGUAAGUCUCAUGAGUUUGAUUCCUAUAAAAUGGCAAGCUUUUUUCUAUUAAACUCACACUACAAUAACAACAACAUUUUAGAUUUCAAACUUAGACAACAUGUUCCAGUGCUUCUAAUACAUGAGAACCAAUUUACAUAAACCACUAUUAUGGGUUAUAAUUUGUCAUUCUUUAUGUUCUAUACAUUCAAAUUUCUUUUAUAACAGACAAUAUCGUACAUAAUUUAUGACAAAAUCUGACAUCAACAGCUGAAUCACUUUCUCACCUAUGAAGUUGAAGUCGUUUGGUUGCAAAACAUUGUCGCCAUGUCAAAUUAUAGUUGAGAUAAGAUUUUACCCGUUUUUAAUUGCGGAACAAAUAGGGAAAACAAUAUCUUCAUGCUCUCAAAGUCCAAUUUAGAGGGGUUUUUUUUUUUUUUUGUCAAAUGAUAGAUUUGUUCGAGUCGACAGGGUUUGAAAUCACGCCUUACUGUAAGAACAACACUCAUUUUUAUCGCUGUGGUAGAGAGCCACUUAGCUCUGAGAGAGUUUUUUGAGUUGGCCAUUUUAUAAUUUUGUUGGCCUAUCUUAUUUGGGAGGAAAUGACAAAUAUUACCAGAGCCUGGUUUUGUCAGCCAACUCAACUCAAUCUAAGUCAAGGCACUGAAACAACGCUCUUCUUCUAUAUGAGCUUGCUCCUCCUGACCACUUUAAGUAACCGUCUCUGAAAUCUUCCUAUGCACAAUUAUUUUUUUUAAAGAGAGAUAUUUUAUUCAGUGAAUAAAAAGGCAUACUAUUAUAUUUAUAUUAUGAAAAACUCGGUCCCAAAUGAGAUAUUAAAAAUAUUAUAAUAAAGUAUUAUUAAAUGUAAAAUAAUGAAUAAACUUCAAGUACUCGUUUGAGCUUAUCGAGAACUGUAAAAUUACAUAGAUCAAUAAAAUCAUUAACCCUUGUUUAAAAUAGAACAAAAAUAUCAAAUCAUAUAUUGAGACAUGAAGUUCGAUGUCCAUAGGUCUAAUUGCAUCAUCUAAUCACUGCCCCCCAAUCCUAUUAUACCAAUUGAAGUAGAUUCAGCAAAUCAAACAGCUCCACACUUCACAUAUAGAUUCAAAAGAGAUGUAGCAUACCAAAACGAAAAUUAAAAUCAAGCAACUCUCCUAUAGAGAGAAAUCAAACUAGCAAACUCUCUUAAAUAGAGAAAUCAAAACCAAACUCCAAGACAAUUCUUAUAAAUUAUUAAACAGAAACCGCUCCAUAUCCUCUGGACAUUCGAGAGCCAUAUUUGGCUAAACCCAUAGUAUCGUACUAGCUAAACCCGAUAUUGACACUCUAUGACAUCUUAUAUUGAACGUGAUAAUUGGAUCUGAAACUUUGUUUUACUAUGUGCAUAAGUCAAAGGACGACGACUAUCACAUCGACAAUUCUACACUAAACAAAGUAAACAAAAAAAAGUAGAGAGGGAAGAGACUAGAAAUGAUUGUUAAGAUGAUUGUCGCCGACUCCAAAACCAAAUGUAAGGGCCAUCGGCAAAGAGUUUUUCUUUGAUUUUUGCUCUAGACGGCUAUUGUGUACACAAUUAUUUAAAAACACAAGAAAUUAUGUAGUAACUUAUUUAUCAAAAAUCAACUUAAUUACAAACUAAUGAACAAUUUAACUUGACAGAUAGAAUGACAUGUCAUGCUAAUUACGAUACUAAUAUCCAUGUAUUUGUUUGAUAACGUUCUGCACUAUUGUCGGUGAAAUAUUUGAUCAAUUGCUAUUUAAUGACUUGCAGCUGUACAUCAAUUACUGUAAGACCGAUUUAUAAAAUAAAAUUCUACGUAGUUUCUUUAAUAAACGAUACUAUCUACAUUAAAGAGAUGAAAGAAUAAACUAAGUUUCACAAUUGACUAGUAAUAAUGUAGUUCAUAUUCGCUUUUGAUAUUCGAACGCAAAACCUCUCACUUACAAAUAAAAGUAAAUAUUACUAAAUCGUAGUACUAAAUAACUAUCUUUGCAUACGUGUUAGCAUCACGGUUUUUCCAAAGGGUCAGUUUUUGAGGUUGGAGGAAUCUGACGCACCGCCUCAGCCACAACCAUCAAACUGGACAUGGCCAGAAAGCCACCACGCCCUCCUCCCCGUUGCCACCAACCACCCACCCCACACCACCCAAGGACGUGCUCGACCACCAUUUUUAGGCCUGCCAAAAGGAAAAGCCCAUGUCAACCUCAAAACUGGAAGCCCAUAUGAAAAGCCCAUAAAUGCAAUAAAAUAUAAAAAGAGAGGUAAAAACCCAAGAAAUACACAUCUUUUAAGCAGUUGCACGAAUUUAGCGUGCCAAUAACAGAUAAUGUGAACAAAAUAAAUUAUUUAAAAACAAAUAACAUUACAAACGCGUCUAAUUCUUUUCUUAUUUUAAAAUUUUAAAAUAAUAAUUUAAUCUAGAAUUUUCACCUUUUAAUUUUUAUUUUAUUUAAAAACUGAAAGUAAUUAAAAAAAUAGAUUUAAAUAGAAUAAAAUAAAAUAGUUAUCGAAUAGCUCAUAAAGUAAAUUACCGAAUUGUUUGACAUAUCAAAGUAGGUAUUCUAUAUUGACUAGAAUUAUAUUAUAUGUGUAGACAUGUAGACUGUCUAUUUGAAAAAAGGUUGUAGGCUAUUUGAGCUCGUCUGAGGUAUUUCUUUUUUGUUACUUUGAACACUGAAUUUCUAACUUAAACUUACUCAUUAUCCUAUGCAUCAUUCUCUCUCACGAGAGAUUUUUAGUGUGCUGAAAAUACAAUCCAGUAUAUUAUGUGUAAUAAUAUAAUUUAUUGGAAACUUAAAAAAAAAAUUCUAACCAAUUGUUUUGUUACACUUUGUGUACUGAACCGUGUUUCCGGCAUACUGAAUUUUUUUUCCUCCCCACCUCCCAAGAUAACCCAAUGACUUCGACUAUUCAAUCUUUUUGACGGUCAAAACCGAACCAAACUAUUCAUUACAAUUUGAAUGGGCCGAUAUGUUUUCUAAUUUUGUUUAGUACAAUGAUAGCACUAGUAGGUUCAAUACUUAAUUGUUCAAGAAAAUUGAAAUUACUAAAAAUCAAACUCGGAUCAAAAUAUUAAAAAUAUUAUUUUUUACCAUUAUAAUAAAAUGGUCAUCAUUUGUCCUCUUUGAUUAUGAGAAAUUCACCAAAAAAAAAAAGGAAAGUAGAUGAUAGACCGCAAAACUUUAUCACCAACCCCAAAAUUAUAGGGAUGGUUCGGGUCGGAAUCCCGAACCGAAACAUAAAUCCCGAAUCCUAAACGAUCAUUUUCGAGAUGGGAUUCCAAAACCCGAAACCAAACCAAACUUUCGGUAUUCCCGAAUUUCAGGAUUCCCGAAGUUGUUUCGGUUUUUCGGUGGAUCGGGAAUGAAUGUGGUCAGCAAAUAUUAACCUAAUUUAGAAAGAUCGUAUGAAUGCAUCCCCAAAUUGAAAGUUCAAAACCCUAAUUCACAAUUUCAGAAUCCAAAUCCAAAUCAAGGGACAAUAUUUUCGUGAAUCGUGGUACCGUUCAGAUCAAAGAAGUUUUGAUUGGAGGUCACAAUGGGAGAUGGAGGUGGAACUGUGGAAGUCUGGAUCCAUAAUAUGGAGGAGUCAUAGAGGUGUGGUGGUCGAUGACUUGACAUCUAAUGUGUUGAGUCCGUUAGGAAGGGGGAGGAGAGUAGAGAGUGCAGAGAUGAUUCAAGAGAUAUGAGAGAGUGUUGAGUGUUAACAGAGCGGAGGAGGAAAAGAGAGAGUGCAGAGAGAUUCAAGAGGUCUGUGUGAGACAGAUAGCGUGCAUACCUAAUUUGAGCGAUUAGAGAGAGAGUGAGCUUUCUACGAUUGAGAUUUAAUAAACCGAAUCCAACGCUUAUUUAUGCUAAUAAAUAUAUAUUAUGUAUCGGUUUGGGAUUAUCGAACAUCUUGACAACUAGGUCCCAAUUCCCAUACCGAAAUGUUCGGAUUUUUUUGAUAUGGGUUACCAAACUUUUCGAGAUUUUUUAUUUCGGGAUUUUUCGGUUGGGGGGGGGGUCUGUGAAAUUUUCAGUCGGGCUCGGGUAAUUCAAGAUUUUUAUUCAGCCCUACCCAAAAAUGAUAAAAUAAAAUAAAAACCCCCGCUACCCUAUACGGAAAAAAUAACCGAAAUUACUGGAUUCUUUUAUUUUUUUUUUCAUCAAAAUAAAUAAAUAAAUACUGAAAAUGAGUUGAUAGUAGUACACGCAGAAAUUGAAAAGUGCUUUUUUUCCAGCAAAAUAAAUAAACAAAUACUGAAAUGAAAUGAUAGUAGUACUGUAGUACAAGCAGAAAUCGAAAAGUGCUUCCAUCUGAGAUUUCAGAUAGAUUGCUUUAACCCCAUACUCCUUUUUCACCGCUCGCUCUCUCUCUCUCUCUCUCGCUCUCUAAAGCUCUACUGGACUUUGUCGUCUUCGUCUGCUAUCCUCCCCCUCUUCCAGCCCCCACUCUCUAUUGCGCGCGCGCUAUCUCUUUCCUCCUAUUAGGGUUUCUCAGCUUCCCAGCUCAGGUGAAUUUCGCUACUUACUUUCACACAUCGCGAUUCUUGAUCUCUGUUCUGAUCACCGAUUGGUUUUACACCAGUUUCUUAAACUUAUUACUGUCUCUUACGAACUGGUGCUUUUCAGCAUUGAUUGGGGCUGUAUUCUUGGUGAAUUUUCGCAUUUGGAGUUCGAUUUCGGAGAGUUGAAUCUUGAGGUUUGAUUGAUUGUUGUGAAAUCGUGGGGAAUUUCACUGUUUGGGGAAUCUCGUAUUCAAUUCGCUGUCUAACAGAGCAUUUAGGGUUUAUUAUUCUUUGGCUUUGAAUUUGAUUGAACUAGUUGAUUUAGGGUUUCUGAUGAGUCUUUGGUUUUUGCAUUUGCGAAUUAGACUCUGGCAGGAUGAACGACCGUAAGACCAUCGAUUUAGAACAAGGAUGGGAGAUCAUGCAGAAGGGGAUCACAAAGCUGAAGAACAUUCUAGAAGGGUUGCCUGAGCCGCAGUUCAUCUCUGAUGACUACAUGUUGCUCUACACGUAUUUCUUUCUAACUUUUAAUCUUUAUGAUUGUCAUUGGCUGUUGUAUGCUCCAAAGAUUAAUGUUGCUGAUUGUGUUUUGUUGUUCUUAAUUUUAUUCGCAGAACCAUAUACAAUAUGUGCACUCAAAAGCCACCACAUGACUAUUCACAGCAGCUCUAUGACAAGUACAGGGAAUCUUUUGAAGAGUACAUUACUUCGACGGUGAGGAAGCAUUUAGCUAUUAUUUAUUUUUUCAUUUUCCUAGUCCCAGUACUUACUGUGAUUGUUUACAAUGUCACAAACUGUUUUUUAUUAAGCUAAAGUUAGAAUCUUGAUGCUCUCACUAUCUAACAUCGCCUAUAGACCUAUUAGAACUCAAUGUACAUUGAUAUGAUAUUCAUUGUGGCAUGUGUAGUCAGGGAUAAUUCAACGCUCCCCAAUCCCCAAAUUGUUGUUUGAGGAUUUUUUUUUUGCUUACGAAUGCUCUUUCUGAUGCUGAGUUUAAUUUUAUAUGCUUAUGUCAGGUUUUGCCAUCUUUGAGAGAGAAGCAUGAUGAGUUCAUGUUGAGAGAGCUUGUGAAAAGGUGGACCAACCAUAAAAUUAUGGUCAGGUGGCUCUCUCGUUUCUUUCAUUAUCUUGAUCGCUACUUUAUAGCUCGGAGAUCACUUCCACCCUUAAAUGAAGUUGGACUUACUUGCUUCCGAGAUCUCGUAAGUUGCGCUGGAACCCUUAUGUGGCAUCUUAAACCACGUUGUUUGAAGAAUUCUUUUGAUUGCCUCUUGAACCAUAGCCCAAACUGACUUCCAUACCAUUUUUACGUUUUUUUCAUAUACAAUUGCUUCUCAUCCCUCACCCGAACCGAUUUCAUGGUAGAAUUUGUAUGAAAAUGUCUUCCAUCAUAAUCCCUUCACAUCUUCAGCUGAUUUUUGUGAGUAACAGAUUGUAAUAUGGUGGGCAAUAUAUCAUUGUGAUUUUCAGGUCUACCAAGAUUUGAAAGCAAAAGUAAGAGAUGCUGUAAUAUCUCUGGUAUGUUUCCGUUUUACCUGAACCACAUGUUCUAGUAUUUAAGUUGAAAUAAAUUUACUUGACGUUUUAUGAAACAGAUUGAUCAAGAACGUGAAGGAGAGUAGAUUGGUUGAGCUCUGUUGAUGUUCUAGUAUUUAAGUUGAAAUAAAUUUACUUGAUGUUUUACGAAACAGAUUGAUCAAGAACGUGAAGGAGAGCAGAUUGAUCGAGCUCUGUUGAAGAAUGUUCUGGAUAUAUUUGUUGAGAUUGGAAUGGGACAAAUGGAUCACUAUGAAAAUGACUUUGAAGAAGACAUGCUUAAAGGCACCGCUGCCUAUUAUUCUCGAAAAGCUUCCAACUGGAUCUUAGAAGAUUCUUGUCCAGAUUAUAUGCUAAAAGUAAACUCCAUUAUGCUUGUCUUUGUUGUUUUAACUGUAUAUUAUACACUUAUAUGACACAAUUUCGAUGAACAUAAUUUUUGUGUGAAAUUCCAGGCAGAGGAAUGUUUAAAACGGGAGAAAGAUAGAGUUUCUCACUACUUGCACUCUAGUAGUGAGCCAAAGCUGCUUGAGGUGUGUAUUUGAUUAUUUCUAUGACUUUACCGUGUAUGCAUAGAUAUUCCUAUGGAAUGUAAGUCUAGGUAAGUUAAGUCGGGAUGCAAAUAUCUGUAGAAUUUGAAAUCUGGCUGUUAAUGUUGUUAUUAUUUUCUUAAUUGUAGAAAGUUCAACAUGAGCUGUUGUCUGUUUAUGCAACACAAUUACUUGAGAAAGAGCACUCGGGAUGCCAUGCAUUGCUUCGAGAUGACAAGGUACCUUCGGAGAAUGUUAAAAUCUACAAUUUUGUCCAUUGGAUAGAUGAAACGCAUGAGGGAGUAAAUGCGAAGCAUAACCUUUGGCGGAAGUGCUCUAAGGGUGCGUUUGUUGCACCGCUGGACUAGCGUCAUGGACUAUGUUGGAUUGGCUUAGAUUGGACUAUGUUGGACUGACUUAGUGAAGUGUUUGGUGCAAUACCAGACUAAAAAGCAGGAUAAGAAAAAUAGUUAUUAUUUUAAGUAAAGAGUAGUGCAUCUAUCUGCAGAACCCAUUCAGAAACAAACCAAUUCAUACAAAUAAGAAAGCACACAAACAUUUUUUCAUAAUUUUUCAACUUAGGUAAGAUCGUCAUCCUCAAGUUCCUUGGACUUCAACUUUUCCUUCACUCUCAGCAAAGGUUGUUUGCCAUGGAUCCAGUGGGGCCAUGCUAUCAAAUUCCUUGACCAAAUUCCUUGACCACGUCAAUGAACUUUGCAGUGUCUUCCACAUCAACUGAAGCGGCAAUACACUUUAUUAAAAGUUGGAUGUAUAAUCCCUUGUACCUGAAUAAGUAGGAUCUAACUCAAAUCACAACUCCCAAAUUCAACAAAUUCCAGAACUUCCAAAUCACAAAACAUAGAAUUCCCAAAUCACGAAACAUAGAACUCCCAAAUCACUCAAAAAUUUAAAUUCAUAACUCAAAAAUUAAAACCCAGAAUCCUCCAUUUCAAAAAACCCAAAAUCAAUUCAAAAACCUAGAACCAAUCUAAAAACCCCCAGAAUCCUGCACUUGAAAAAAACCCAAAAUCCAAUAAAAAAACUCAAAAUCAUCCAUUUCAAAAUGUCCAAAAUCCAAUUCAAAAAACCUAAAAUCCUCCAUGCCAAUCGAUCUUUGCAAAUUGAAAUGGCCAUCUCUGCAAAUCCAAAAAACCAUUAAUUAGAAGCAAAAAUUGAGAUGACAAUUGAGUUGGAGAGAGAGAGAGAUUACGUGGACAAAGAAUCGGAGAUGACGAAGACUCCGCGGGAGUGGUCGGAGAUGAAGUAGAUGCGGCGGGAGUGGGUGGAGAUGACAAGUCGUCUUUGUUGUAGAUGAAGCAGUCAAGCAGGGCUGGGAUGCUAGAGAGAGAGGAGGUCUUAGCUCGAUUGCGAUAUGAGAGAGAGGGGGUCUUAGCAGUCCCAUGGUGUUCAAGGGCUCUAGCUAAAGAUAGUUUAGCGAAGGCGUUAGUGUAGGCAAGUGAAAUUUAGUCUCAUUAACGUUAGUCUGUGUGUAUAACAAACAUGGGAUUACACUAAAAUUUAGUCUAGUCUAAUCCAGUGAACCUUAACAAAGGUAAACAAACGCACCCUAAAGUUCUUCGCCUAAGUAAGUUAGAGGUAGAGUACGUGGGAAGGGGGUCCAAGUGAGAGGGGUGAGGAUUGGAGAUCAAGAAGUACCAAAGAGCUAUCUUGGAUCUAUCUUGCAAAAGAAUGGAGAAUUGGAUGGAGCUCUCAACCAUAAAUACAAGAUGGAUGGAUGAAACGGAGGAGUGCAUUGUCUGUGUUAUGCAACCGUUGUAUGCCACUAAAACUCAAGGGGAAAUUUUAUAAGAUGACAAUAAAGCCAAAAUGUUUUAUGGCAUGGAAUGUUGGAUGGUCGAGCAUCUAACACGUGCAAAAAAUGAGUGUAGCUGAAAUGGGAAUGUUUCGUUUGAUGUUUGGCAACACUAGAAAGGACAUGAUUAAGAACGAGGAUAUUCGAGGUAAAGUAGGAGUGGCCACAAUUGAAGAUAAAAUGAGAAAAUCGGUUAAGGUAGUUUGGGAGUUUGAAACGAAGACCCACAGAUGCUCCGGUUAGAAAAUACGAUUAUGGGACAGAGGUUGAGGGUGAAAGGGGUAGAGGAAGACCUAGGAAGACUUGGAAAAAAACUUUACGAAAAAACAUGGAGUACUUGGAGCUACCAGAAGACUUGACACGAAACCGAGUGCAAUGGUGUUUUAGGAUUCAUACAGCCGACCCCGGGUGGGAUAAGGCUGUGUUGUUGUUGUUGUAUAGAAGGAAUCCUGAAAGAAAACUAGACGAAUGUUGUAUCUUAUCAUUUUUCUUUUCUCUGUUGAAGGUGGAUGAUCUGUCUAGAAUGUUCAGGCUAUUUUCUAAGAUACCUCGGGGCUUGGAUCCUGUUUCUCAAAUAUUCAAGCAGGUUAGCUGUCUUCCUUUAUUUUUUCUGGGUUAAAGGUGAUCUGGUAUGUAGCAUAUUAGCGUAUAUAUCUUUCCAUUUCUGUUUUUUUUUAUUAUGCUUUUAAUAUUUCAUGGUGUCCCGUGAUGCAGCAUGUUACUUCUGAAGGAACAGCCUUGGUCAAACAGGCAGAAGAUGCAGCAAGCAACAAGAAGGUAUAUGCCUUGACCAUCUCUAUUAUUUUAUAUAUUCAUGGCUGCUGAGAAGGUUUUCUACUGAAUACCGUCUACUGGUCGGACUUUGUUUGAAAUUCUAAAUUAGAGACUCCCAUAGUCCCAUGGGGGAAAAUAAUAUAGCCAUAGAAAGUAGAUUCAAAUGAAAGCCAAAAUAGAUUCAAAUGAAAAACCAAACUCUUGCCAUUUGGGGGGGGAGGGGGGGGGGAAUAAUGUAUCCUCUUGACCAAAAUUUUAGAUCUUUACAAUCUUCAUUAAAUUUUUUUUUAACUUCUAUUAUUUAUGGUAAUUUAAAAAAUUUCCUAUCCACAAGGAUUGGAAGCUCCAUUGCACCAUUAAUAGAUUCAUUAAAUCUGCAUAGAGGGGAUGAUAUGAUAUGAUAUGUUAUAUACUGUAAAGAAGAAAGGAUUGCUCAUAUUUUUCCAAAGAGUGUCCUGUUUGUUGACUUUUCUUGUUUCCCAUAUCUAACUAGACAGCUGUUUGGUGAUGUCAGUUUUGAUUUAUCAGUAGUCCCGUGAUCACUUCCUUUGAUUCAGAUUGUUUGUUCAUGUAAUGGUAUUCGACAAGUAAUUAUAUGCGAACGCUGACUUUUUUGUUCCCCCACAGGCAGAGAAAAAGGAUGUGGUUGGUUUGCAGGAACAGGUAAUUUCAUGAACAUUGCACAUGUGGAACUUUUGAGUUGCUUGAGCGACAACUAAUAUGACUGCUUUUCAGGUUUUUGUUAGAAAAGUGAUUGAGCUGCAUGAUAAGUACAUAGCAUACGUCAAUGAAUGUUUCCAAAACCAUACUCUUUUCCACAAGGUUUGUAUUUUAACAGGGCUUUAAGAUUCUUAUUGUUGCCACCAAUUAUUUCUGCAUAACUGAUAGUUUAUUUGUGCAUCUGUAGGCCCUAAAAGAGGCUUUUGAGAUCUUUUGCAACAAGGGUGUUGCUGGAAGCUCUAGUGCGGAACUACUUGCCACUUUUUGUGAUAACAUUCUUAAGAAGGGUGGGAGUGAAAAGUUGAGCGAUGAAGCCAUUGAGGAGACACUUGAGAAGGUCUGAACUCUUGAUGUACCAUUCCAUUUAUUUACCUUCCAUGGACAUUUUACUUUUUUCUUACUCUGGUAGAAAAAUUCAGUAAAUAAAGGCCAUUCAAACCGCAGGUGGUAAAGUUGCUGGCUUAUAUUAGUGACAAGGACCUGUUCGCUGAGUUCUAUAGGUAUCACUUUUAUUGCUCAAACUGUUUGCUUUCAAUCUAAUGUAUUUUAGGGAAAGGUUAUAGAUGAUUAUAUAUAGUUUAAAACUAGAAGGCAUUACAUUAACUAUGCUUGUUUAAUUUCUGGCAGGAAAAAGCUUGCUCGACGUCUUCUUUUUGACAAGAGUGCUAAUGAUGACCAUGAGCGAUGUAUUUUGACAAAACUGAAGCAACAAUGUGGUGGUCAGUUUACCUCAAAGAUGGAGGGAAUGGUCAGUUUUAAAAAAUCCUUCAAGAAAUGUUGCUUUUUAAUGUUCUGUACUUGCAUGCAUUUCUGGGUUACUGCUGGAGAUAUGACUAAGAAAGUAAAAAUGGUUUUUUUUUUUUGCAGGUUACUGAUUUGACAUUGGCCAAGGACAACCAAGUCGGCUUUGAGGAGUAUCUGAAAAAUAAUCCACAGGCAAAUCCUGGGAUUGAUUUGACAGUUACUGUGUUGACCACUGGCUUCUGGCCAAGCUACAAGUCUUUUGACCUCAACCUACCCCCAGAGAUGGUAUACAGAUUCUGCUGAGAAAAUCUAGUUUCAAAAUUUACUAUCUGCUGGGUUAAAAAUCUUGGGGAAGUUUCUGACUUCUUUAUUUUUCACUCUUGCUUUAGGUUAAGUGUGUAGAACUUUUCAGGGAAUUCUAUCAAACAAAGACAAAACACAGAAAACUUACAUGGAUGUACUCACUGGGUACCUGUAACAUCAUUGGGAAAUUUGAACCAAAAACUAUAGAGCUUAUUGUGACGACUUAUCAGGUGAUGUAUUUAAUAUAUUAAUUGAACUUUCCUAAUCUGUGAUCUAUUGUUCAUAUUUUUUGUCUAGCUUGUGAGAUGCUGAUCUAUUAGAGAUUUAUUUAUUUAUAAGACUGAUUUUUCUGUAUCUUACUUUAGGCUUCAGCCCUGCUGCUAUUCAAUACCUCAGAUAGACUGAGUUACUCGGAGAUUAUGACUCAGUUAAACUUGACUGAUGAUGAUGUUGUCAGACUACUCCAUUCCUUGUCAUGUGCCAAGUAUAAGAUCCUUAAUAAGGAACCAAACACAAAAACUAUCUCUCCUACUGAUUACUUUGAGUUCAACGCUAAGUUUACUGACAAAAUGAGGAGGAUCAAGGUACUUGGAUCUUUAGGUGGUAUCUUGUCUUUUGUCUUCUAAUUUUGUGUUCAUGUGAGUGAUCAGUCAACUUAUCACUGUGAUCAUCAUGCAGAUUCCACUCCCACCGGUGGACGAGAAGAAGAAAGUAAUUGAAGAUGUUGACAAGGACAGACGGUAUGCCAUCGAUGCAUCAAUUGUGCGUAUUAUGAAGAGCCGUAAAGUUUUGGGUCAUCAGCAGUUGGUUAUGGAGUGUGUAGAGCAGCUAGGUCGCAUGUUCAAGGUUAGUGUAGUGCUUUUUUUUUUCUUCUCAUUUUAUACUAUUUUAACCCCUUUUCCUUGGUUCUGAAAGAGUGGUGUUUGUUUCCCUCCCUCCAUUGUCUCUUCUUUCAGCCCGACUUCAAAGCAAUAAAAAAGAGGAUCGAAGAUCUAAUCACAAGAGACUACUUAGAGCGGGACAAAGACAACCCUAAUUUGUUUAGGUACUUGGCUUGAUGUGGUGUAAGUUGAUCGUCCUUCAAAUGGCGUGGUAUUAGCACAAGAAGUUGGGUCAAGCGGUGGACAAAGUGGCACAAUCACUUGUAAAUGCCAUUGCACCAGUGACCAAUAGUGAUUGCUAAAAAAAGCACGAGCCGAGAAUACUCUACAUUUUGCCCUUGGAGCAAGGUAUGGAUGGCUAAUAUGGGUAGUGCACUCUUGCUGGGGAAAUCUGUUAUUGACUUCAUAAUAUGGCCCCGGCGCCCCAUGGGACCGUAUUGCAUCUUUCUUUGAUUACUGCAUUAUCUUCCAUCCCUUGACUAUACCAAUCCAUCUUUGUUACCUGUUUCUUUGCUCCACUGGAAGGAGGCGUAUUUUCGGCCCCAGCAUGUCCACUUGAAUUGCAUUUCGCCGAUCAGGUAUCAAAUUUAUCUGGUGGAUGCUUUGUCUUGAUUGCAAAACACAUGGCUUGUGAACUCUGAAUUUGUCUAUAUGAUUGCAAGAUGCUUAUGCUCUUCUGCUUCAUGAUUUGUUUGGUCGAUUUGUGUUAUUACUUUCAUAGCGAUAACACCGUUUUUGCUGGUGUCAUGGGGAAUUUCUGACCGUUGGUGGGAAUGCACUUCAAAUGCAUUAACUGUCAGAAAUUGGCCACGAAAGUAAGCGAUUGAUCGUAACAUAUCACUAAAAAGUUUGGUAUAUCAGCCCUGACAUUGGGAGGUGGGAGUAGCUUUCGGUAAGAUGUUUUGCGUUGCUGAUUAAAUAAUGUUUAAAAUUUGAGUGCUGUUUGUUACCGAGUUGAUACGGAAUCGAAUCUUAAUAGAAUAAGCAGCUGUGGGAUCAAAGUGAUGAUUAAUUAUCAUUCCAAGGCGAAGCAACGGAUCAAGUCAACAGAUUUCGGGUAUACAAGUAAUUACUCUUAAUCACUUGAACUACAAAUUUUAUGCUCGUUUGCGUUUGUAUACUAGAAUGUGGGAUUUCAAUGGGGAUUGCAAACAAAACUUUGCUUCAACUAUAAGCAUAAAAUAUGACAAAUAAUUGUUAAUUUCUCUUUAUUCUAACAAGAAAGGGGAAAGGGGAAAGGGAAAAAGUGAGAUUUUCUAGUUGGUCUAGGUCGUCAAAAUUAUAAUGGAACCAAAAAAAGAAAAAAAAGGAAGGGUGUUAUUUUUGUAGGAAGUUGAAUUCAAUAAAUUGCCAAAAGAUAGAGCUAUUCAGACAUCUAUUUUUUCUCUUACACACACCUUUGUUAAUUUAGUCAUUGAUUUUUUUAAUUUAUUCGAUACAACGGUUGAAAAUUAAGAACGGUGUGUGAUAAGUAAAAAUAAAUAUAAAUAGCAAUACCCAUGAUCAAAUGCAGAGAAAAUGGUAACGGAAUCGAAGUGAUGGGAGCAAAAUUAACGGUUCUUUCUUAAUUCAAUAAAUAAAAGAAAAUCCCAACUCAAAAAGUGCUCUCCCUACUCUCUCCUCAUGAAUGCCAAAUUGGGGUCCCCCGUCAC